AGUGAGCACCAAAUAUUGGAGGGACAAAUGCAUAUAGAGAGAGAGAGAGAGAGUUGAACUGGAAAGCUAUCAGUAGCAAAUAAUAUUGAUCAUCGAUUUGGAGGCUCUAUUAUCGAAAAUAAAUGGAUGAUAACAGAGGUCAUUGAGAGAGAGAGAGUUGAACUGGAAAGUUAUCAGUAGCAAAUAAUAUUGAUCAUCGAUUUGGAGGCUCUAUUAUCGAAAAUAAAUGGAUGACGGCAUAGCUCAUUUACUACUAAUAGCAUUUUCACUCAAAUCUCUCUCUCUCUCUCUCUCUCUAUAUAUAUAUAUAGCUAGUUUACUAUGCUAUUAAUAAUACCAAGUUAUUGGCACUAUUAGAUUUUCUUUCCUUAGAUAAAGAGAUGUGCGAUUAGAAUAAUAAUGAUCUCUUAGAGUUGAGUGGGUGGAUGGUUGAAUAGUAUGAUCUAACGGGUGAAAAUGGUUAAAGGGAUAGAUUUAACGACGAAAAAUUUGUUAACAUUAAUUGCUUAAUGCUAUUGAUAGUACAGUAGCCGAACUCUCUCUCUCUCUCUCUCUAUAUAUAUAUAUAUAUAUAUAUAUAUAUAUGUAUAUAUAUAAAUAUAUGCAUGUUGUGCGCUAGAGUUGACUUGUGUAUAUAUAUGCACGAGAGAAGACAUAAUUAAGUGGGAUUUUUAUGAAUGGUACUUCGUGUAUAGUUUUUGCUAUAGUUCUUUGCCAUCUUAUACCUUUCUCAGCAAAAAUGUUCUUAUGAAAAAUGAAUACAUAUUUGAUUUGAAUAAUUCAAUUUAGAGCCAAUGAAAGUUGAUAGCGUUCUUUCAAAAAAAAAGAAAAAAGAGUUAAGAAAGUCUCAACUAAAAGAAAGAUUGAGGUGGUUAUUUCGGAAUGGCCUACAUGAAGUUGAAAAGAUUUUAUACAUUUUAUAGUCUAAUUCGUUUUUUAUCAGAUUAAUAUUUUAGAUAAUAUGAUAUCAAAAUUGAAUCACUACUGUAUAAAUUCGCGUGAUUGUAAAGAUUAAUAAGAGAUUUCACUUUUUCGCUCUUUGUUCUUACACAUGCAAAAGCACGUCACAAAAUCUAGUAAUUAGCUAUUCAAAACCCUAUUUUCUUCUUUUCAAUUUUUUAAAUAUUCAUAUCAUUUGGUCAUAUAAUAUUGAGUAGUGGUAGAAUCUUACGUAGACAAACUCCUCAAAUAGUAGUUGUCACCAUCAACACCUUUGACUUAAAGAAAGAGUAUUAAUUUCCAUAACAUUUGCAGUUUUCUUAUGUUAUUACGUAUUCAAUUUCUCUUUUUCUUUUUUUUUUUUUUGGGUGAGGAAACAUUUUCAACGUUGUAGCAUGCAUGAAUCAAGCAAAGAAGUAAUUCUCUUGCCCUUGCUUUAAGCUCUCAUCGCUAAUUGGUUAAGCAACAAAUAAGAUUUCAACUCAUUUGAUCCACUAUAUAAAUGGCAUGAUUUUAUGAAAGGGAUAGCUAGGGUCGGUAAUCAAUUUUAUUGGGCAUAAAUUAAUAAGGAAAUCCUCUUGAGAGCAAGGGUUGGGGUGGGGGAUGAUAACAAAGAAAAGAAAAAAUACAUACAUACAUACAUACAUACAUACAUAUAUAUAUAGAAUUAUGCUACUAUACUAUCAAUAGUACCAAGCCCUUGGUACUAUUGAGUUUUCGGCCGUUGGAUGAAAGAAUGUGCGGUUAGGAUGAUAGUGAUCCCCGGUUAAAUUGAUAGUGGUCCUCUAGGGUUGAGUGGGUGGUUGGUUUAAUAGUAUAAUCUAAUGGGUGGAAAUCAUCAAAGGGUUGAUCUAAUGGUAGAAAACUCAAUAAUACCAAGGACUUGAUACUAUCGAUAGUAUAGUAGCCAGACUCUAUAUAUAUAUAUAUAUAUAUAUAUAUAUGUAGCGUUUGGUUCGGGGAUAAGCAAGAACUAGUUAUUCCAGGAAUAGGUACAAAUAUGGAGAUAAGAGUAAUUUUGUGUUUGGAUGAAAAUAGAUAUAGGUAUAGGUAUAAGGAGGGAUAAGGAAAAAAGUGUUUGGAUGGUAUUUGGGGAUAAGAGAAUAGUAGGUUGGUGAAAUGUAAAAAUUACCCAAUUACCCCUAAUGAGAAAAAGAGAAGCCUGAGUUGUAGGAUUCGUAAGUUAUAUUUUUUUAAAUUCAUAUUUACGUAAAAUAAACCGAUUAUUUUUUAACCGAUACAAUAAUAAAUAAAUCAAAAUGUAGCGCGGCAUUUGUAAAAAGGCAUACGCUAUUUUCGAAAAGACGUACAAACAGGUAGGUGCAAAUGCCGCAAUUUUUAGAUUGUAACAUAGCACAGAAUCUAUAUUCUUUCUAACAUAAUUAUAUUUAGACACAUUACAUAAAUAUAUUACAAAUGAAGAUUAUAUAUAGUCCUACAACCAAAUAAAAGCAGGAAACUUCAUGAUCAAUUAUUCCAUAGUUGGUCGGUAAUAGAGCGCCGCAAGGACUCCCCACAUGUCGAAUCAUCGCCUCCACUUGGAAUAGGGUCUGGAUGGUCGGUAAUAGAGCGGAUCGUACCGUUGCCGUGAUGUGCACAUCGAGAUCGCCACUACCGCCACGAAAGGGGAGUCGGAAGAGGCAAGAUCCAUGUCAAGUGGGUGCACGACAGCAAGCAAGGCCGCGGGAAACCCACCGGAGUUGUAGAUCCCCAACCGAUCUCGCGCGCAGCAACGGUUUCGCAAACCCACAAGCUUUGGGGAAACCACGGGUAUGGUCGGCUGGAGAUGAAGGGAGGGAGAGGACUCGCGGGAGGGAGCGGUGGAGAGAGAGGAACCGGCUGCAGGGGAGAGGGAGCUCGGUGAGGUGAGGUGGAGAGAGGAAACGGCUCGAUCCACGUCCAGUGGGUGCACGGCUGCAAGAAAGCCCGCCGGAAACCCACCGGAGUUGCAGAUACGCGUUUGGUUCGCACCAAGGGUUUCGCAAACCCACAAGAUUUGGGGAAACCAUGGGCUCCGUCGGCCAGAGGCAAAGGGAGGGAGAGGACUCACGGGAGGGAAAGGUGGAGAGAGAGGAACCCGCGGCGGGAGACAAGGAGCUCGGUGAGGUAAGGUGGAAAGAGAGGAACCCGCUACAGGACCUCGGUGAGAAAGGGAGAGAGGGAGCUUCCCUUGCUACAAAGAAGGGGAGAAGAUGCCAGGGAUAGUUUGGGUAUUUUUCACUCACGAGCCACACUACGACAAAAAGGGGGUGGGAACUGUUGUUCCCACCCCUCUUCACUUAUCCCCAUGGUGGUGGGUUCCCACCACCUAAAAAGAUGUUUGGGGAUUAGCUGGGGGAUAAGAGCUAAUCCCCCAGCUAAUUCCAAACCCAAACACUGUCAUAGAGUUCGGCUACUAUACUAUUGAUAGUACCGAACCCUUAGUACUAUUGAGUUUUCUACCGUUAGAUCUAUCCUUUGAUCAUUUCCACCGGUUAGAUUAUACUAUUAAACCAACCACCCACUCAACCCUAGGGGACCACUAUCAGGGCGUGUUUAGUUCGAAGUCGAAGCCGGAAUCGAAAUCGGAAUCAAAAUAAGUUUGAAUUAGAAUCGGAAUGACUCAUUACCUAAUUCUGUUUGGUUCAUCACCUGAAUCGGAAUCGGAAUAAAUCAUUUCCAUUGUCGGUGUUUGGUUCAGAUGGAUAUAAAAAACAUAAUCAAAUUAAUAUACUAACAUUAUCUUUAUAAUAUAUUAAUUUAAAUUCAAAUAAAAAAUUAAAUAUUAAAAAUUUACAUUAAAAUUUUGAAAUAAUGUCAGAAUUUUUAAUCUAUUUUUUUAAAAAAAAAUUAAACUUUGAAGAUGAGUGGAUAAUUCAAAAUAUGAAACUAAAUUUUGAUUUAUUCAAAUUCAAACUUUAAAAAUUAUAAUUUAAAUUUUAAUUUGAAUCCAUAAAUUUAAUUUAAGUUUUAAAUAAAAUUUGAAUAAAACUUUAUAUAAAUUAAAAUUUAAUUUAAAUUCAAAUUCAUAAGUUAGAUUCGAAAUACUUGAUUAAAUUUUAAUUUUUAAUUUAAAUUCAAAUUAAAAUUUAAAAUUAUAUAUUUAAUUUUUAAAUCUUAACUCAUUUUUAAUUAAAAAAGUUGAAAAGAUAAUUUAAUCCGAAUAAAUAUCCAUUCCGUCCGGAUUCAACUUCCAAUCCGGCCACCUACGCCGGAUUGAAAAAAGAGGUGAAUGGGGGAUUUCCAUUCUACUUGGUAAUCAGAAUCGAAAUGGAACUCCCGCGUACUAAACACCCACAAAUGAAUUUACCCAUUCUGAUUCCGAUUUCAGGGUGAAAAGGAAGCGAACCAAACACGCCCUCAAUUUAACUGGGGACCACUAUCAUUCUAACCGCACAUCCUUUCAUCCAACGGCCAAAAACUCAAUAGUACCAAGGGUUUGGUACUACUGAUAGUAUAGUAGCACAAUUCUAUAUAUAUAUAGAGAGAGAGAGAGAGAGUUUGAUUUGACUACUAUUAGUAAUAAACAGCUCUAUUUACUACCUAUUUGUUUUCAAUAAUAAAGCUUCCGAAUCGACAAUCGGCACUAUUGAACAUGAUCUAGAGUUCUAGACUAUUUAAACUAUCUAAAAAUCAAAUUUCUUACCUUUUCUACAUCACUGAUUGAACGAUGAAAAGGUCAAAAAAAAUCUAUAACUUUAAUGGUUUUUUUUUUAAUGGAAACGUAGCAUGCUACCCGCUUUAUUUAUUUCAUUUAAAAAUAAACUUAGCUGAAAAUAUAAAUCAACUAAGAUUCGAACUUGGGUCUCGGAUACCAACCACCAAGCCCUUUUGCCACUUGCACUAGGGACGGUUAGUUACAAUUUUAAUGGUUGAAAUGAUGCAUUUAUUUGUUUAACGGUAUAGAAGAGUCCAAAUCAACUAAGUUUUUGUUAUAAAAUUCUUUAAACUAUUUAAAACAAGAUCUAAACUAUAAAUCUUAAAUACAAAAAUUGUAUCAUCUCUUUUGAAAGACAUUCAUUUUUCAGCCAUUCAUUUUUUAUUCACUUGAUGAAUAAGAGAACAAUAUCAAAAAAAUAUAAAAUUUAUUUUUUAAAUAAUUUAAAUAAUUUAAAUCAAGUUUAAUGGUGCCGAUCGUCGAUUUAGAAGCUGUAUCAUCUAAAAUAAAUCGGUAGCAAACCUAACCAUUUACUUUGGAUAGUAUUCUAAUAAAGAUCCAUAUGAGCUAGGCUGGUAUACUAUCAGUAGCACGGAGGCCUCCGUACUACCAAAUUGUUUUCAAUGAUGCGGAUUUCAAAUCGACGAUCGGCUCCGGUAGAAUUGAUCUGUACUAUUAAAAGUAUUUGGAAACUAAAUUUCAUAAUUUUUCGAUAUUAUUUGGCUAGUGAUCAAAAGAUCUCAAAAUUGACAAUUUUAAUAGUAGAUGUGAUGUGUUUGUGAAUUUAACGGUAUAAAAUAAUCCAUAUCUAAUGAAAUUUUUAUAGAAAAUUUUUUUCACUAUUUAGAAUAAGAUCAAUACCUUUGAUCUUAAAUUCAAGUUUUCUAUCAUCAUUUAAAAUUGAAAAUUUUAAUGGUAGAUGUGAUGUGCUUGUGAAUUUAACGGUGUAAAACAGUCCUAAUCUGAUGAAAUUUUUAUAGAAAAUUUUUUUCACUAUUUAGAAUAAGAUCAGUAUCUCCGAUCUUAAAUUUAAGUUUUUUAUCAUCAUUUUUAAUGAGAUUUUUUUUUUUAGCCGUUUAUUUUUAGAUUACUCGUUUAGUAGGUAAAUGAUGUCGAAUAAUUAUAAAAUUUAGUUUCCAAAUACUUUCAAUAGUGUAGAUCAAGUCUAACGGAGCCGAUUGUUGAUUUGAAAGCCGCAUCAUUAAAAACAACUUAGUAGCAUAGAGACCUUGUGCUACCGAUAAUAUACCAGCCUAGCUCUCUAUAUAUAUCUCAAAACUUGGGAGCAUAAAUGGAGGACAGUCAUACUAGUACUGUAGGUCACUGUUUCAUCCUCUGCUACUUAAUUAGUACAGUCAUACUAGUACUGUAGGUCUUGUUGUUUUGUGUUGCUCAUAAUUAUACAGCGUCCAGCUGUAGGUCGCAGGGACGCGGACAAAUUAUUCUAUAAAUUUUGUAAUUUAAAUAAAUUUUUUAGCUAUUCAUUUGUGAGUUUAGGUAAAUUAUCAAAAAUUGAUCAAACAAAACAAAGUGAAAAAUGUAGCUAAAAUGCAGCUUUCACCAAAUAGUUUGUUAAGUGCAAAUGCAAUUUUAUAAUCUAGCAGUUUUUUUUAAUACAUAAAAAUUCAAAUUAUUGGAAGGUCAUGCAUGCAGGGAAAGUUUCUUCUGUAAAUAUUAUGUAUUAACAAAAGAAUAACAAUAUCUAAUUAAAAUUUUCUAUUUUGCAUUAACGUGCUACAAGAAUAUUUUUUCUUUCUCCACAAAAUUAUGGCAUUAUUCUUAAUUAGAUCUAUAAUUAUCUCACAUUACCUAAUAGUACAAUUAUUCCAUGCUAUAUUACGCCAUGCACGUAUAUGUUUACUUAAGGAGGGAGAAAAAAGGCAAUUUGAGAAGUAGGAGAAUUUAACUUGGAUUUGCAGCAUAUGCUGACCAAAAAAUGGCUCCAAGUAAUGAACAAAUUAAAAAAGAACACAAGUGGGAAAUUAAUUAAUUUGGUUUUUUUGGAAAAGAAAAGAAAAAAAAAAGAACAUCCAUUGGCUCGCGGGGAGUUGACUAUGGGGUUCUUUUUAAGUGCAUUAUUGAAAGAGUGAUGGACCACUUCAACAUACCCCACAUAUAUAUAUAUAUAUAUAAUAUAUUAUAUAUAUAAUAUAAUAUAUAUAUAUAGUCCGGCUACUGCACUCUUAUGAGUACGAUCGCACUCGUACUCAUAAGUUGUUUUCGAUGAUAGACUUCCGAAACGACGAUCCACACCGUUAAAUGUUAUCUAGACCAUUUAAAACUCUAGAAAUCAAUUUUAUAAUUUUUCGACAUCAUUUACCUUACGAUCAAAAGCUUACAAAAUUGACAAUUUUUAACGGCCGGUAUAGAAUACUUGCUAGCUUAACGGUGGAAAAAGAAUCGGAAAUAUGUUGAAUUUUUGAUAGAAAAUCUAUUAACUACCUAGAUAAAGAUCAAUAACUCCGAUCUUAAAUUGAAGGAUCCAAUCAUUCAUUUUUAGGUCGUCGUUCGCUUUGACCGUUUAUUUUAUGCCGCUUGAUGGACUUUAUUGAUAUUCGAAAAAUUACGAAAUUAUUUUUUAGAAGUUUCAAAUACUCUAGAUCAUAUUUAACGGUAUGGAUCUUGAUUUCGGAAGCUCCAUCAUCGAAAACAACUUGAGUACUAAGGCCCACUACUCAUAAGAGUAUAGUAAGCUCUACUAUAUAUAUAUAUAUAUAAUAUAUAUAUAUAUAUAUAUAUUAAUAUAUAAUAUAUAUAUAUAUAUAUUAUAGAGUUGAUCAAGGAUACUUUUACAAGUAUCAUCCUCAUAUUGCUAUCAGUUUUUAGCCAUUGAACUACUUUUUGAUUACAAAUAGUCCUUGGAUCAAACACUAUUCCACCUACCACCACCUACUACCAUCAUCUCAAUCUCACAUCUCUCCAUCCAAGGCUAAAAACACACAAGUAUCACUUGGUGAUACUUGUAAAAGUAUUCUAGCCUACUCUAUAUAUAUAUUAUAUAUAUAUAUAUAUAAUAAUAUAUAUAUAUAUAAUUAUUAUAAUAUAUAUAUAUAUAUGCUUUAAUCCCGCAACAUGCACACAUACACAGAUACAUGUACACACACAUAUGUUUAUAUAUUAUAUCCCUCUUAUGCAAUUAUAUAUAUGAGAGAGCUAGCUCGGUUCAUUUUUCCUGUAUAGCCAACACCUAGUGCAGUUCUCUCUCUCUCUCUUUCUCAGAUCAUCUCUUCUUUGCAAACUCUCCAUUCUUUUUCUAUCCUCUCGAUAGAUCGAUCGAUAUCGCUGUGCUCAUGCGAAUGACUAGCCCUCCGACAACGGCGCCCCCUCGAAGCCAUGAGUAAUCUAAUAGUCCCAAGAUCUAAGGUCAUGUUCCACCAAGUUUAUGAUAGAGGUUAAUAUAUACAUAUAUAUCCAUAUCUCUUUCAAUUAUAUAUAUUCAUAGUUUCCUUUUACAUAUAUAUAUAUAUAUAGAGAGAGAGAGAGAGAGAGUUUGGUUUCUAUUUCAUGGUUUUGUUUUUGAAAUCGAGUUUCAUUUACAUAUUUAUACACAGUGGGUUCUUCCUCUUAUUACUUUGGUUGUAAACCAUAUAUAUAUAUACAUAUAUAUAAAUAUAAAGAUAAGCAUUUGGAUCAAAGAAAGUACAUAGAAGUUGGUCCAUAUGCGGAAGGGAAGGAAAGGGCUGAUCAUGAAGACGUUGGAGAGAUGCCGAUCGAUCGGCGGCGGCGGCGGCGGAGGCACAAACCCUAGCCCUAAGGGGUUCUUGGCGGUGCACGUCGGAGCGGGAAGAGAGCGGUUCGUGGUGCGGACGGAGUGCCUGAACCACCCGCUCUUCCGCGGGCUCCUCGAGGAGGCGGAGACCGAGUACGGGUACGCCGUGGAGGGCCCCCUCGAGCUCCCGUGCGACGUCGAAGCCUUCCACGCGGUGCUGUCGGAGAUUGAGCAGGACGCGGGCGGUGGUGGCAGGGGGCCGUCGUCGCCGCUCUGCGGCCUCGCCAGAAGCCAGUCCAAGUAUCGGCUGCUCAGCCCGGCACAGCUCGCGCUCGUCGGAAAAUCAUAUUAAUUAUUGUUAUUAUUAUUAAGCAACAAGUUAUUUUAAGUUAAGAGUAAUUAGUACUCUCUAGUUUAGUUUUUGUGUGGUGCAUUUGUAUUACUAUGUGAGGUAGAUGCAUGCAUGCAUGCAUAUGGUAGUUGUUUACUUGCUCCCUUUUGGUUAAUUUUAUGUAGGAGCGAGCUAGCUAGCUAGGUAGCCAAGGUGCUACUCAAUGGAACUAGGGUUGAGUGGGUAAAAAUAUGUAACUACUAAAAGAGUUUGAAUGCUAUACAAAUGGAUGAAUCCGACUAUACGAAGAGCACACUAAUAAAAUAAAGAUUCAAGACUCAACCAGUUGUUAUAGUCUCUUCUGAUCGCACUAAAAUUUAAAAUUUGAAAUCGAUUUUUAUCAUCCACAAAAUGUGUAUGAUUUCUUGAAAAGCGUGAAAAAUAUUUUGAAAAGAACAUUUUAUAUUAUAUAAAACACUUUUUCUCUAUCAUUUUUAUUUUGCGAAUAAAAAAAAAUACUACUUUAUCACAAAAUCUUAAAAAACUUUUUUUUAAAAAAAAAAACCUACUUUUUCUAAAAGCACACGUACGGAAAAGUAACUUUUCCAACCAAAAAAUUAUUUUCUAAAAUAUUUUCCAAAAAACCGAACACUAAUAACCAAACAACUAAAAAUUAGAAGAGUUUCAGCAGCAGCAGCAAUCACACGCUAUUUGUUACCAAAAUAAGACGCAAUAACAAAUACUUUAAAUUAUUGCUGCGCGUGACUACUGAUGCAAUACAUUGUAGAAUAACAAUCUCUUACGGGCACAUAUUGUUUAAUAAAUUCAACUCUAAUUUGUAUUCUAUAUACACGUUGCUGUUAUAGUGAGCUAAGCAUCACAUGAUCUUAUCAUAUUUGUUGUCCCUGCAAGGGUGUUAGUUCAUCUGCUUGAACACAAUGGUAUAUUAUAAUUAGCUUAUAAGAUAAAUGAUGGAUCAUGAGAUGAUCAGAAGAGGUCUAAUUAAAAGAGAAUAUUGUACAACAUAGCUACAAGAAAGGCUACAACAUCUUUCACAUUUGAAUAUUUGAGUUUUUAAGCUAAGUUAGAUCACCGGAAAAUCGCCACCAAACUAUAACAGUAGUAGAAGAUGCGUACCCCCUUCCUUAAGCUACUUACCAUCAUCUCCAUCUGAAUCAUUAUCUUCCUCUUCUUCUUGCGCAUCUUCUUCGCCAUCCUCAUCUUCCUGAUCAUCAUCAUCGUUGCCGUCAUCGUCAUCGUCGUCAUCUGACAUAUUAUUUAUCACUUCUUCUAUUAUAUGCUUCACCUCUGCCUUUCUAUCCAUUAAAUCCACAUUGAAAUGCGCUCCUGCCGACAAAGAACCAUUCUCAUGUCAGAUGUGCUUACAUGUACUGAAACUCUGUUUAUUAUCAAUUAAGUCACCAUGCUUGAAUAAAUUGGCAAUUUCGUAAUUUUCUCAAAUAGGACUAAAUGAUAGGUUUUAAGAGUAAUAUUAGUACCUAAUUGCCGGAGAAUAUCUGCUAAAGUUGCCUGCACCAAAGUUGAUCUUAUCACUAGUUACCAGGAAGAAAAGCAGAAUAGGAGUGAAUAAAGUAAAUUGGCGCUACCCACCGUAUUGAAGUCCACUUCUUUCAAUAUCUCGCUAACCACAGCAUGUAAUUCUUCAGUGCUUGGUCCCUUCGGGGCAUCUCCAUUUGCCUUGCCUUUUCCUAGUAUCAUAAAAGAGAGUCAUAAACAUCUUAAAAAGCUUCAUUUCAAUAGUCAAUAAAGUACUAGCCAACUACAAACAGCAAUAUGUAAAGACCAACUAAUUUUGAAAUCUUACUUUGUUUUGUGGCAGAAACCUUUGGCUCCGCCUUAGCAGCACUUUUCUCGCUUGUCUUUUUAUUCUCAGUAGAAGAGCUUUUGCUCUGUGAUUUACUCUUAUCCUUGUUCUUGGAUUUGGAAGCUGUUGAUGGAACCAAUUUAGCCUCAUCUCUCGAUCUUUUGCUUGGUGUAGAUUCUAAGGAGCCUUUAUUGGUCUUAUUGGACUUCGGAGGUGCAUCACUACCCUUUGAAGAGCUCUUAGAUACCUUUUUGAGCUCCUUAGAACUCUUGUCCUCCAAUUGGUCAGCUGGUUUAUCUUGUGCAGCAACCUUUAUCUUAGAAGCAGAUUUAGGGCUUUUAGCAGGGUUUGUAGAAAUGGCUUCUUCAGCAGAAAAGGCCUUUUCUUUCCCCUUUGACCCAGUGUUCUUUUGUGCCACCUCUUUGGAAGCCUUUUUGCUCGUAGCAGGCUUUUCUUGUUCAUCUUCCUGACUUUCUUCUUGAUCACUCAUAACGUGGUCGGUCUCUUUCUCUGAAUCUUCAUUAUUGCCUUUUUCUUCUUCUUCUUCUUCUUUUGGUUGUUCUCUAGAUUCUUCCUCUGAAUCUGCAGAAUGAUCCUCUUCAUUUCCUUUUUCAGCUUCAACUGAUUGCUUACUACUCUUCCUUUGUCUCUGGAUAUUAUAAGUUACAGCAUAUCAAUACGCAAUUAACUGCCAUAAACAGUAAAGAGCAAUCCAACAAUCAUUAUGGACUCCCAGAAGCACUGUGCUAAUAAAAGCAACUAGAGUUUUGCAACAAUAUCAGUUCUAAUUUGAUUGUCAACAAUUAGUGAACUCUAUGAGGCCUCAUUCCAAUCUUGCAAUUAGCCAUGCUCACUCAUAGUUGACUUGAUUAAGCUCACAAAUGCAGAUAGACAAGACAAAUGAAAGAUAUAGUUCAGUGUAAAUGUAUGAAGUGAACCAAAUGAGAAGCAGAAACUGGUAAUAGCAGGAAAAAGAAGACCUUUUCCUCUCUAUCUAAAGAUGGUUCAUUCGAUGUUGCCAGUCCUUUCGAUCUCUUAUGUUUUUUAAAUUUCUGCCAGCAACAUAAACAAUAGAUGAGAGUAAGUACAAUCUACAAUCAAAUAGAUAACAAUCUCAACAGAGUAAGCGUGAUACCUUCUGUUUCUCAGAAAGUAAAACAUCUCUCGUAACAUAUGGAGAUUCCAAAAAUUCUGACAACUUCGCUGAAAUUUCCUCCUGAAAAGCAUACAAAAUAAGACUCUUUGACAUCUGUCUAUGUCGCACACGCGGGCGCGGGCGCGCGCACGUGAGCGCUGGCGCGCGCACGCGCACGCGCGCGCGAGAGAGAGAGGGAGAGAGAGGGGAUGUUCCACAACUAACCAACCUUCUUGGUAGCAGUUUUCACAUCAUGCACAUCAAGUAACUCACAAAAAUCAAGUAACUUCUCUUUGUGGCAUCUAUCAAGCUUUUCCUUAAGCUUGGCCUUUUGCUUUACCUGAAUAAGCAAAAUAGCCAAAAUAUAUGAAUUAUUAAUGAGAAAUAAGGAGCCAACUUAACUAAUACUAUAAACAUCUAACUACAGAAAUUAACAGGCUUACAUAACAAAGUAAAAUCAAUUGAUUUAUGCGUUUUCAAAUUCAAUACCUAAAAGACAGUAAUACUAUAUAUCUCAAAGAAUUAUCACAUGACACCGUGAUCUACAGCAUGCCGGCAUGACACAAACAUAGACAGAUGAGGAUUUUCGGAAAGAUUCUAGAGAAAGAUAAACCAAUUUAGCAGCGGAACUUCCUAGAAUUUUUUAAUAGAAUAAGGGAACUGAUUAGUUUGAGAUGUCUUUUGUGUACAAAAAACAACAUAGCAUGCACGCUCAGAGCUUGUAUUCAUGGGCAGCCGUAAUAUGAGUAUAUAUGUCCAACUAAAGGCCUGUUCACUAGGGCUUUUAGAACUUGUCUACUGGAGAAGAAGAUUUAGGCAUUUGGUCACAAAAAUAUCUCAGCCCCUGAAAUUGGAGAUUUCGGAUUCGUCGAAUAUUGUUGCAAAAAGAAAAACUGUUAUGGCUUCCCAAAAAGCAAUUGUUUAAUACAACAAAAGCUAAAUAGGACAAAGGGAACCAUUAAACUAACAACGAAGACCAUCCUAAUUUACUGACUAGAUAUUAUAUAGUUCAAGACUGUAUAGACCAAGGCCAUUGAUCCAAACACCAAAAAACACAUCAUCGAACAGCACCACACUUUAGCAGCAAGCCCAAGCAUGCCAAACCGUAUGGUGACGAAAGAGCCUUCUCUUGAUAAUACAUAUAUUAGAACUUAGAAUGUUACAGAGCAUUAUUUUGUUAUAGUUUAAAUGGGAGUUCCUUAACUUAAAACCUGAUUUUGCAUUUAUAAAUGGGGUAAGCUUUCUAAGUAUUAUUGCUGCAAGAUAGACUGCGAUCAAAUCAUCAAGAUACAGUAUCUCAAGAUUUAACAAAGCAUAGAAAUAUUAGCAUUGGACAUCAGAAGCACAUAACUUAUAAAACUAUAAGAACAUUUUCAUAGUAAGGGAAAAGAAGAGUGUUGGGAUGGACGAUUUAUGCUACCUCAUUCUCAUCCCAAACAAAACCAGAGAACUGUAAAAUGUUUCUCUUCAGAGAAUGGGCCUGCAAAGAGAACCUUUACCAUAAAUUAAUAAACAAGUACCGAGCAAGAUAAGUAGUGUAAAAGUAAUAAUUUGACAGAAUCUUCGAAGAGGAACUCUUACAUUCGAUUUCUUUCCAAAAAGAAUUCUGUGAAGGACUUGAAGAUUCUCAUCAGCUUUUCUUUUUGACAUCUUGAAAGAAACUGAUAAUAUAUAAGCAGUAUUAGGCAAAAAAAUAAAUAAUAGCUAGUAACAAAUUAGUGCAUAUGACUACUGCUGAACUCUACACUGCUGUCGAACAAGAACUAUGAAAAAAAGCUGGAAAAUAAAUAGCAAAUAGUACCGUUUGGAAUGUCUUUCAGCAUGGUUCCAAAACCCUAAAAAAACCCACAAGAAAAACAUUACAUUGAGCAUAAAUCAAUCAUAAACAAAAGGAAUUAUAGUCCAGGCCUGAUCUAAUAUUUUUAAAACAAAAGUACCUUUAGGAGAAGGUAUGAAAAUUGAAGAGCCACUCCAUACCUUUAGCUUUAGAUUUUUUCUUUUUUUUUAUUUGGGUGAUUUAAUCAUUAAAAUGGAGAUUUUAAUAUACGCACCCAUUAUUCCACUAAUUUAAUGGCUUUAAUCACUUCUUAGUAAAUAAAAGUAAAACUAGAACAAUUACCUGCUAAUGCUUAAUAAAACCAUUAAAUUCAACAAAAUCUUGAACUUAACUAACUAAAAUAUCUCUAAUGAACAAAAAGGAACAGAAAUUGAGAUGGUAUCAAACAAAGGAACGAAGUUAAGGGGCAUGUUUCAAACUAGCCUAUAUAAUUGAGCAGCUCUUCGGCACAUUUUUACCUAAUAUGCUCUACAGUCCACAAAUUACGCAGUAGAUCGGGAACAGGAUAUAAGAAGUCAUUUACCUGCAAGAUCGCCGGCGACUUCUUCGCCGAGGAGCUCCGGGGAGACGCCGACGUGUACCUCUCGACGGCCUUCCGCUCCCUCGACGGCCUCUUCUCCACGGGCGUCGCUGGCUCCUUCUCCGCCGACCCCCUCCUCUUCUUCUCCACCACGUCCUCCCCAUCCACCUUCGCCCCCUCCUCCGCCUCCUCCUCCUCCCCCUCCCCCUCCUUCGCCCCUUCCUCCUCCCUCUCUCCUCCCUUCUUCUUCUUCUUCUUCUUCUUCUCUCCUCCUCCUUUCUUCCUCCCCCUCUUCCGCUUCUCCACGCCUACUCCCUCCACCGCCGCCGCAGCAGCAGCGGCGGCGGCAACAGUAGCAUCUGGAGUGGCCGGGUCACGAUCCUUCCCCUCUUCCUCGUCUCCGGGAGGGGAUCCGUCGCCGGAGUUCUUCUCCUCGCCUAGGGUUUCGGAGCUCAUGGAGAUCGGGGCCGGGGAGAUCGAAAUCGGGUCGUAAAACCCUAGUGGAUUCGAGGAGUGACCAGUGAGAGAGAGAGAGAGGGAGAGAGAGAAAGAGAGAAAGGGGGAGAGAGAGGGUUUUAGCGCGGAUUCCAAAUGAAAAUCCAAUCUAAUUUAAGAGCGGGAGUUGGGGGCGCGGACAUUUUUUAGGGCAUGUUUGAAAUUUCGCGCCGAAAAUUUGGGAAAAGAGGUAAUCCCACAUUGCCAACGUUUGGGGGCUACUGAACCCAACUUUUUAAAUUCUAAACUCUAGUUAAGAGCAUGUUGGGUUCGACAAAACUUUAUUACGACAAACAGGCGACCUCCAAUCAUAUGCAGGUCUCGACAUUACACGCAUUGGAGGUGAAGUUUUGAAGCUCAGAAUCUCAUUUCACAGCUGGUAAGUAGGUGUUAACGAAAAGAAUAGAAAAAAAAUAUCCAUGCUUUUUGAUCGAGAGGAAAUUACAACAUUUGAAGUUACAUGCUUUUCAACUUGAAUUCUUCGUAGUGACUCUGUUUUUGAGAGAUAGAUAGCACGCUACCUGCUUCAUCUAUUUCAUUUAGAAAUAAACUUAGCUGAAAAUGUUAAUCAACUAGAAAUUCUUCGUAGUGACUUGAUCUCGAUGAAGUACGUUACAUUCAGCAACUUGAUGAAUUAGAUUUUUAUUCACUUUUGGCUAAAAAUUAAGAAACUUCGAAGAUUCGAGGUUUUGACUUAAAAUUUCGAAUGACAGAAAUAUCUUAAAGAUGUGCUAUUGAAGUUAUUUUUAAAACUUUUUUUUUGAGAGAUAGGUAGCACGCUACCCGCUUCGUUUAUUUCAUUUAGAAAUAAACUUAGCUGGAAAUGUAAAUCAGCUGGAAAUGUGAAUCAGCUGGAAGUGUAACAUGAAAGCUGCUGCUAAUCCGAAAUCACCUUAAGGGUGCGUUUGGUUCGCAUUAUAAAAGAUUACUAGGAAUAAAAGAUAUCCGAGAAUCUGAUUACUAUUCAUCCUAUUACUAAGAAUGUGGAAUUCCUGUGUUUGGUUCACACAGUAAUAUUAAUUAGCCAUGUUAUUUAAUAUUACAAAAAUUAUACAAUUAAUUUAUUUAUUUAUUUAAUUAAUUUUAGAUAAUGUUACCAAAAGUUUCAACAUCUUUUUAGAAAAAAGAGAGAGAGAGUAUAAGUUAGAGAGAGAGAGAGCAUAAUUAAAAAAAUAGAAAGAAAAAUAUAGUCGAAAUUAGAGGGAGUGAGAGAGUUGAAAUUUUAGAAAGAGAGAGAGAGAGAAAGCUUAGUUUAGAGAGAGAAAAAAAAGUUGAAUUUUAGAGAGAAAAAUAAGUCUAGAGAGAUAUAAGGUUAGAGUGUAAAGAAAAAUAAUAUCAAUUAGCCGGCGGGUAGGAAGAAAGAAAGAGAUUAGACAUAUUAUGAUUACCCCAAUCCAUUAAUAUAAGGAUACUCACCCUCCCUCAAGGGAAUGAGAUUAGUACUUUGGGGUGAAUCUUAUUCCCAAGUGAAUCUAAUAUUACCAACUAGAUUACUUAGUGCGUUUAGCUAAACACCGUCAUAUUUUUUUAUUCCCAUUGGAUUACUAGGAAUCUUUAAAAGAUAGCGCGAACCAAACGCACCCUAACGGUUGAAUGUUGUGAAAGAAGAUCCUCCUAUCCUUGCUUGGUACAGUAUUUAUUAAUUAGGUAUCUAGAGUUUGAAUAUGACUAAAUCGUGAUAAUCUUGGCCUAAUCCUCGAGAAAUUGAGAUGCCCGUCUCUUUCCAAACAGAAGUCCAACCUAAAACUUAGGCUUAGUUUGAUAUUGAAGCCUAUCUAAUGCGAGAUAAAAUAGAGUUGGGGUAAAAAUAUGUAGAGAUAUGCUUCUACGUUUUCUGGUGGGACCAUAAAAAAUAUAUCGUGACCGACUAAUCGCGAUAUAUGAAACACAAUAUUACGUACAGAAAAUAAACAUAAUAUUUUUUCUAUCAUACUUUCUCACCGCACGUAAUGCAAUAUCCCCGCAAUGGCAAGCGAAGCCUUGCACAUUAGAUAGUAAAGAUUUUAGGCUAACAGUAGAUGCGGCGCAUACUCCACUUCUGCAUUUGACUUUGUGCUGCCAAACAUCAGAUCUUUAAAGAUAGGUCUUUGCCGAAAGGCAUCCACUUUAACCUUUGAUCGAAUCUUGAGAUCAACAAAAAGUCAACUUAAACUAUGUUUGGACGCUAAAUUAAGCUCACAAUUAAUCUUUUCAAAGGUGUUUUUCCCAGUGAAAACAAAUGUUUUAUUUUAAGCAAGUAAUACCAUUGAAUUAAUCGGCAACGCCAACGAGAGAUGAUUAUAUAUAUAUGUAAAACAGAUAACUUGGUACACAUUCUUAAUUUUUGUUUUUAUUUCGUAUGAUGAUAAUUUUCACUUGAAUCUUUAUUUACUCUUAUUUAACUACUAUUAAGAAAAAAAUUUGUUGUUGACACAUGAGCUCAUGUAAAUACAACAUACAUCUCCUCUACUACUCUCAUUAUUGAGUAACAAUAUUUUAUCAAUUUAUAAAUUUCUUUAACUAAUUAUACAUACGAGAUGGACGAACGAUGAAUAAAUAACGAAGGUGUGAGGUGGGAGCAAUAAUUUCCCUCUAAUUAUUAUAACUAACUAAAAUGAAAAGUUUUUAAAAAUUGAAAACGCUAAUGCAGGAGGAGGCACAACUGCAACAGUUUGAAUUACGCCCAAAUUGGUCGCAGUUCCAAGUACAAUAGUUGAAGAGAAUAACUUUAAACAAAAAAUCUACUUACCUUCCUAAUUAUUUUUUAAACAAAAAAUAAAUAUAUUUUUUACAUUGGAGAUAAUAUCACCAUCAUAUAUAUAAAAUGAUAAAAUUUUAAAAAUAAUUUCUCAACUACAUGCAACCAAAUAAAUUAUUUAUAGUUGCAAUGGUUUCUACUACAUCCAACCAAACACGAUACAUGUAGUUGUAACUACUGCAUUUCCAAAUUAUUUAUAAUUGCAACGUUUUUUACUAUAUCCAACCAAACAGAAUGUAUGAAGUUACAACUACUGUAUUUUCAACUAUAUUUAUUUCAACUACACUGCAUUUGUAAUUACAUAUAAUCAAACAGUCCAUUAAAAAAAGUCAAAAUUCAAAAAGUGAGACACUUUAGGAUGACAUCGCCAAAAAGAAACUAAUUAUACUUUGGGGAUUCUUGAUUUUCUGAAAAAUAUCACAAAAAAGUAGUUUUCUGGACGAAAAAAGUAAGAGCAAUUACUUAUAUACUCCUGAAAAGUUUUCGACUUUCUAAUUUAUCCAUCUUAGAAGGCUAAUAUUGAAAAUACCUUUUUUACGUUUCGAUAUAUUUCAAACAUACUCCAGAGUUAAAAUCUGUUAAUGAACUCUAUUAUCUCUAUGAAAUUACUAUUUUGCCCUUUCAAAUAUUCCCUUUUACCAUCACUGAUUUUUCUUAUUUGCCCUUAAGUUAGAGGCACAAUAAGUAUUUUACUUUUUGGUCUUUCCAAAUAUACCCUUCUACCAUCACCAAUAUUUCUUAUUUACUCUUAAGUUAAGGGUAAAAGUGUCAUUUUAAUUUUUUUAACUGUGGUAGAUAUUUAGGGCGUGUUUGGUUCGAAGUCGGAGUUGGAAUCGCAAUCGGAAUCAAAAUAAGCUGGAAUCGGAAUCGGAAUGGCUCAUUACCUAAUUCCGUUUGGUUCAUCAUCUGAAUCGGAAUCGGAAUAAAUCAUUCCUAUUGUUGGUGUUUGGUUCAGGUGGAUAUAAAUAAAAAACGUAAUCAAAUUAAUAUACGAACAUUAUCUUUAUAAUAUAUUAAUUUAAAUUCAAAUUAAAUAUUAAAUAUUAAAAAUUUACAUCAAAAUUUUUAAAUAAUAUCAAAUUUUUAAAUCUAUUUUUUUAAAAUAAAUUAAUCUUUGAAGUUGAGUGGAUAAUUCAAAAUAUGAAACUAAAAUUUUAUUUAUUCAAAUUCAAAUUUAAAAUUACAAUUUAAAUUUUAAUUUGAAUCCAUAAAUUUAAUUUAAGUUUGAAAUAAAAUUUGAAUAAACUUCAUAUAAAUUAAAAUUUAAUUUAAAUUCAAAUUCAUAAGUUAGAUUCAAAAUACUUGAUUAAAUUUUAAUUUUUAAUUUAAGUUCAAAUUAAAAUUUAAAAUUAUAUAUUUAAUUUUUAAAAUUUAACUUAUAUUUUAAUUUAAAAAGUUGAAAAAAUAAAUUUAAUCCGAAUAAAUAUCCAUUCCGUCCGGAUUCAACUUUCAAUCCGGCCUCCUAGGCCGGAUUGAAAAAAGGGGUGAUUGAGGUAUUCCCAUUCCACUCGGGAAUUGGAAUCGGAAUGGGACUCCCGCGUACCAAACACCCACAAACGGAUUCACCCAUUCCGAUUCCGAUUCCAUGGUGAAAAAGAGGCGAACCAAACACGCCCUUAGCUUAUGUUUAACCUAAGUUAACUUAACGGAUAGUAACUCCAGGGGUAUUUGGAAUAACGGAUGAGCAUAUGAGGGGUAUAAUAGAAAGAAAAAAAAAUAGAGAUAAAUGAAAUAUUUUUGAAGUUUUGAGAGGUAUAUAGGCAAUUAUCCCAAAAAAGUAAAUUUCAUCCGUUUAAUUUAUAGAAAAAAGUAUUUUUUUUAAUUUUGUCUGAUUUUAAGAAAAAAUAUUUUUUACAUAAUUUUAUAUGUUUAACCAUAAAAAAUAUUUGGAAAAACUUCAAAUACCCCCCCUUGUGGUUUCACUUUUUCUCACUUUAGUAUUAUGUGAUUUAAAGUAUAUCAAGUUAGUACCCUGUAGUUUUGCACUUUUUCAUUUUAGUACUCUGUGGUUUAAAGUGUAUCAAAUUAGUACCCUGUGGUUUCGCACUUUAUCACUUUAAUACCCUGUGGUUUCGCACUUUAUCACUUUAAUUACCCUGUGGUUUAAAAACCACAUGGUACUAACUUGAUACAAAAAUAAAACCACAUGAUACUAACUUGAUAUAAAAAUAAAACAACAGAGUACUAACUUGAUACACUUUAAACCACAGGGUACUAAAGUGAUAAAAUAAGAAACCACAGGGUACUAACUUGAUACACUUUAAACCACAUGGUACUAAAAUGAAAAAAAUGUAAAACCACAUUGGGUUUUUUUUUGAAGUUUUCCCAAAAUAUUUUACAUAGAUUUUUUUCUGCAAUACAAUUUUUUUACACUGUUUCGAAAAUCCAGACAUCUAGCUACCAAUUAUUAGGUCACUUGUGAAAAAAUAUUUAUGAAAAUUUCAUUUAUCAAUUUUUCGCCUAUUUGAUAUAAAAAAACUAGUUUUUUUUUUCAGAUUUUAUAAAACAAUAAUUUUUAUUUUUUUAAAAAAUUAUUAUUAAAAUAAAUAUUAAAUUUUUUAUAAAAAUAUUUUUUAAAAAUUACUUUUCUUUUUAACUAAGCGAGCAUAAAUACUUUUUUGAAUGAGAUAAUUGCAUCCACGUCCCCGCAAACAUGGUGAUCUGCAAAUGUAUCCCUGCAAAGUUUAACUUUCAGAUUUAUCCGUACAAAAGUCUUAAUGUUUUCAGAUAUGUUCCUCUGGUUAGAAUCCGUUAAAAACUGUUUAUUUUUUAACAGUAGAUUUGUUAAAUGAUAUUUUUGUCAUCACAAAUAUGUUCCUCUAAAAGCUCCAGUUGGUAUAUGUUUGUAGAAAUGCCCUCUUAAUUUUUGCCCUAUUCCUCUUUCUCUUCAAUUUUCUUUUUAGGCUGUGGGAGCGGUUGGUGACUUCGCGGAGCUUGUCGAAGUUGCGCCCGACGAGGACAAGGCUGAGGCCCGCAGCGGCGAGGUGGAAGGCGAAGGUACGGCCGAUGCUGUCGAAAGCGCUCGUGAGGACAGCCCACAAGGGCAUGACGAUCGGAUCAUCAACGAUGACGACAAAGAAAAAGGGAGAGGAGAAAAUGAGGAGGAGGAGAAGAAGAAGAAGAAGGCGGCAGCGGAGGUCGUUAUCCGACCGCCGUCGCACUUACCUUGGCUGGAGGUGUCGCCAUGGAUGGCGAGGUUGGUGCUAAUCUCCUACGAGGAGCACCACCCGAUCCUCCUUUUCCGCCGCGAUCGCCCGCCGCAUCUCCUCCCUCGCCAGCUACGACGACGACCACCACUCCGACAAGCAACAAAGGAAGAGGAAGAGAAAAAUGGGUAAAAUUAUAAAUUCAUCUUAUUAAUUAAUUAUGAUUAAGUGUUUUAACUGUGGUUAACUAAAUUUCAUCAACGGAUCCUAACGACAGGACUGUAUCUGAAAAUAUUACGACUUUUGUAGGGAUAGUAUCUGAAAGUUGAACUUUACUAGAAUGUAUCUGUAAUUCACUAUAUUUGCGGAAAUCUGUAUGUAAUUAACUCUUUGGAAUAAUCAAACGCACGACUUUUGAAAGGUAAGUGGUCAAUUAAUUUUAUCCAGGUCGCAGUUGCUACCCACAGAAUAUUAGCCAUUUAUAUUUUGUUUCAAAAUAAAAUAUUGUUUAAAUAUUUGUCCGUAUAAAGUGCCACGUCGGCAAUGACUCAUACACUGGAUUUACGUACCAACCACUCGCAGCUGUGGGACCCACAAUACACUUCGUCCCUGAAGUCUCACAGUCCUCACUAUUGGACACGUGAUUCCGUACUGGAGUUGCUAUCGAACCCAAUGUAUCACUACGUCUCAUGCACCGUACCUAAUUUUUGAUGAUCGGUAUCGUAGGCUCAAAAUUUUAAGGAAAAAUUUUAAAUAUCCAUAUUGUGGUUUCACUUUUUUUUUUCACUUUAGUACUUGAUGAUUUAAAUUGUAUCAAAUAAUACCUUGUGAUUUUGCAUUUUUUUAUUUUAAUAUUCUGUGAUUUAAAGUGUAUCAAGUUAGUACCAUGUGUUUCGCACUUUAUCACUUUAGUAUCCUGUGGUUUAAAGUGUAUCAAGUUAGUAUUCUGUGGUUUUAUUUUUGUAUCAAGUUAGUACCCUGCUGUGGUUUAAAAACCACAGAAUACUAACUUGAUACAAAAAUAAAAUUACAGGGUACUAACUUGAUAUAAAAAUAAAAUCACAGAGUACUAAUUUGAUACACUUUAAACCAUAGGGUACUAAAGUGAUAAAGUGAGAAACCAUAGGGUACUAACUUGAUACACUUUAAAUCAUAGGGUACUAAAAUGAAAAAGUGCGAAAUCACAGGAGGGAUUUUUGAAGUUUUUCCAAAUUUUUAAUCCUACAAAUACUGCUUAAAUAAAGAGAUUGUUUAUAAGCAAUUAGAAAUUAAAAAUAUUUAUAAUUUUUUUUUAUAUAUUCAACUCAUUUAGUACUGAGGAAUAUCUAAUAUAGUUAGAUUUUAAAAAAAUUACAGCAAAUGUAUAUAGGCAUAUAUUAUUAUAUUUGUGACGGGACUGUAGAAAUUUUGUUAUAAUUGAAUUGAAUAUUCAUGAUCGAUCUGCAUAAUAUAAUGUUUUUAUAAAAAUAAAUAGAAUAUUUUUCUAUCUUUUAUGAAAAUAAAUAAAGUACUUAACUACUUAUAAAAAGCUCAAAGAAUUAGUGGUUGGUUUUAAUGUUGUGGUCUAUUUGAUGUAACUGUACACCAGGUGCAGGGAAUUUUUCCUCUACUUAAGUAGCAGAGGAAUUAUGGUUUGCAGAAUCUCAGCGAAACUCACGGUGUGUGUUGCAUACAACUUUUCUAUGCGGACGGAUGCAUAUAUACGAUAAUACGACCCGUCUCGCUUUCAACGUACUGCGUCGGACUCAACAGCGCCGACCCCUCGAGAUUCUUUCCACGAGGUGAAAAUGUGUGGAUACCACCCUCAACUAUAGUACACUUUGAAAUGGUCCCCUCAGCAUUUUUUUUCUUAAUAGUUUUAAAUUUUAUCUUUUCAAAUUGAGGGGUUUAGUUAAUGAAAGUAUGGAUUGUAUCGAGUUUAUUAUUAAUUAACCAAGAGAAUUAGAAUAUUUGGUAGGUAAUAGUUGAUAAUAUUAGUAAAUUUAAUAAAACUUUCGCGGUGGAUAAUUUGAAUAGUUUAAAUUAUAAAAGAUUCAAAUAGGAAUUAGAAUAGAAGACUCGGAGUACUGAUUACAAAAUAAUAUAUUCUUGAGGGGGUGUCGAUAAAUUUUCAUCUGUAUAUAGAGCAUCUCCCCUACCCCGCUACUUGAUUGUGCGUAGACUAUUUCUCUUUUUCUCCGUCGCUCAUCUCGUCUCCGGAGAAGAAACCCUCGGGAGCUCUCCCCUGCUUCCGAUUAGGGUUUCACCUCCGAUCGCCCCAUCGAUCCGAUCGCAUCGCGAAGAGUACCCGCUUCUCUCUCUCUCUGUCUUUGUGUCUCAGCUGCCGCCGCCGCAGCCGCAGCCGACAUCGCCGGCGCCGGAGGAAGAGGAGGAGGAGAUCGGCGUCGCCAUACUGGUACCUCCCUAAACCCCCUUGUUCUCUUCAUGUUCUAGCUGGGUAUGUAAAGGAUUCGUGGCGUGGAAUGGAGUGAGCCCUCAUUUGGAUCAGAUUAAGUCAAAAAACUGCUCGAUUUGGUGAUCAAUCCCCCGAUUGGGGUGUGAUUGAAUCGAAAUUGUGUUUACAGUUGUGGAUAUUUGAAUUAAACACGCACAUUGCCUGGGAUCCGACGUAGGAGUGAAGGAAUUUGGUUUUAAUCUGUUUUUGCGGUGGAAAUCCGUAGCGUAGGAUGGAGUGACUGACUUAUAAUUGCGUUUACGCUUGUGAAGAUUGGAAUUGAAUCAGGUGCAGGAGUGGUGGAAAUUGGUUUCAACCUGUUAGCGCUCUAGAAAUAUGAGAUGCAUUUAGGUUUCUGUUGUUGUUGUUGUUGUUUUUCUUUCUCUUUUUUAUUUUUAAAUUCAGAGUGUUGAUAGUCCUCUUGAAUUUUCUAUAUACCUCAUUUUUCUUUGUCUAAGUGGUAUACAAUGUGCACAUGGACAGUGUGCUUGUUUAACAUUUAAUUGUGAUGACGAUUGUAAGAAUUUAAGCUAUAUGGAAUCAAUAACAAAUGUAGCUUUUAUGGAAAAUAUCAAAAGAACAACUUUUUAGUUUGUGAUUCUAUAUUUCUAGACAUUUGGCACCAACAUUAUCUGGAACAGCAUAUGUUGUGGUAUGCGGCACAACACGGUGAUGCAGUACUUCAAUUUCUAGGAAUGUGGUAAAAGCUGUAAAAGUAAUCUGGGUCAUGCUUUGCUUGGAACAACAGUGCGAAUGACAUAUAUAUUUAUAUAAAAUUAGUUGGAUAGCUAAUCAAUUCAUUUCUUUACUAGAUACUUAUUCUUCUCUUUUUUUUAACCUUUUGUUUUCAUAGAUCAACCACUUUGUAUGGGUUCCAAAUCGGUUGAUGAUUUGCUGGAGACUUCUACAGAAGUUCAUUUUUCAGGACUUCAUUUAGAUGGGGCAGAGUCUAAAGAUUGUAAGGAGGAGCAUCCGACAACUUCAACAACAGAGAAUGGCCACAAAGAACCAUUUGUAAUAGGUUAGUAACCUGUAUAAGACAGUUUCCUUUUGUUGUUCUCACUGAUGAGUUGUUACUUUUAAUUGGUAACUGAUUUAUGUAAUGUAAGUGCUGAUCUCCUUUCUUGCUUGAGAAAAGGAGAAUUUUGAUUUCAAACUUUGUUAUUAUGGGUAGGAGAUAUCAAAUCACCUCAUAGCGAAUAAUAAAUUUGCAGAUGGAUAUGUCACUAAUGCUGCUUUUCUGGGAGAUUUAAUUUGUUUUCGUCCUCAUAUGGUAGGUGAAUUGCAUUGUGUUGAAGAUAUUUCUUGUGUACGUUUUACUAAAGCGAGCUUGGGGCGAGCCUUUGGUAACGCUAACAACAAGUCCACACUUAAUGAGGACUUGGAGCUUCCUUGUCCAACUGUAGAACUUAUUUCUAAUUAUCCUUCAUAAAAACACUCUGCUUUUUAGCUUUAAGAAAGCCCAAUGCGAAGUCCAAGAAAACCUUUUUGAGUGAGACUAUCUCAAUCUCUUUCUAUCCGAUGCCAGUCAAAGCACCUGAUGCAUUUUGAAGCCCAAGUUCAAUCUAGGCUGUCUAUCUUGUCUGCUUGUAGGUUCUUCUUGUACUGCUUCAAGAUUUGAUUUAGUUUUCUUUUUGCCAUUAACAAAACGUGCAAUUCAGAUUUUGAAAUCAACACUUAUAAAUGCUUAAUGGUUUUGCCAAAAGGAAAUGUAGUUGUAAUAUGAUAACUUUCAAAUACUAGCAUGUUGCUUGGCUUUAAUGAAAUCUCAAGCAUAAUGUAUUCUAUAUGAUUUUUUUUUACUUUUUCUGGGACAAGGUUUUCUAAUGCUUUGACUGGUAACAUUUUUUUUCUAACCUUUUCUCAUUUUGCUGACUAUCUCACAUGAAAUGGUCAAUGUUUGAUCCAAGGCUUUAAGUGCCCAUCGGCAUGGCUCGUAUCUACCAUGCCGUAUCGUGCCAACAAGAUAUCGGCACGAUACAACUCCCGUACCAACGGCAUUUCAAAACCCUAUAUUCUUUAAAUUAGUUAGUAAUUUUUUCAAUAAAGUUCAAAAGAUUUGAUAAAAAUAUAUAAUAAACAGUUAGAAUAUUUUGUUGCUAAAGAAAAUAUAUAUUUCAUGCUAUUAUGUGUUGGCACACAUGAAUUUUUUGUGACCGGCACGCAUCGGCAUGGCCCGGUAUGCACCAUGCCAUACCGUGCUGGCAAGUUUCCGGCACAACCACGUGCCACGACACUUAAAUCCUUGGUUUGAUCGCUUAAUUUACGUUUGACUCAGAAGCAACUUAUUUUUGUGCUAUCUACAGGUGUUGCUGGUGGUGCAGCUUCAGGAAAGGCACCUGUGUGCAAUAUGAUAAUUGAGCAGUUGCGUGAUCAACGGGUUGUCCUUGUGAAUCAGGUAGUUUCAGUCAGCUGCAAAUUUUUCUACUUUUGCAUCUUUUAUUUGAUUGGUAACAGAAAGGAUCACAUAUAUUUUCUUUCGAUAUAACUGUUCUAUUAAACACUGAGGAUGACAGGAAAAAUCUGAGUUAGAAAUUUAAUGGCAGAGGAGUACUUCGUUGCUUUCACGAUUGCGUCAGCUAACUGCACUAACAAUAGAACUUUUCCUAUUGGCUUUAUAGGUGCGUUUGGCUGUACUCCAGUCUCCAGCACCUAUACUAGAAUUUUGAUAGUAAGGUAAGGCAACAGCUGGCUGUAAUCUUGGCUAAAAUCUUUAGUAUGGCCUGCCCAACAGCGAGUCUGGUUUUAAUCAAGCCUUUAGUGUGUAAUACAAGCAUUGAUAUGAACCUGGUGAUUCUUCUCAAUUUACAACUUUGUUCUGCAAAAAUAGUUGUCAUGAGUAAGUCAUGUUCGUAUAGCAUUUGUAGUAGUCACUGGACAAUCAGUUAUAGUGUUAUUUUUUGUUUCAUUUAUGAUCGCAAGGGAGAUUUUUUUUUUUCCUUUUUCUUUUUUGGUUUCCUUGGGGGGGGGUGGGGGCCAAUUGGGGGGGCGUGGUGUGGGUGGCGGAGAGGAUACAGGACAGGUGGUCAUUAGAAUUAAGAUGGAUCUAUGUCUUCACAGUAAUAAAUAAUAAGCUAUUCUGUUGAGAGAACAAGCAUCUCACAUUGGUAUGCACCAUUGAAGAAAUUCUCUAGAUGAGAAUAAAUUCUCUUGAAGAAGGGUAGUAACAAUGGUAACCUAUAUGCUAAAGGGCUCUAUUACAAUCCCUCUUCUUUUUAAGUUUACCUGUGCAAGAAUCACAUGCAAAAUUUCUAGAGGGUUGAGUUAGGUUGAUAGUUGGUCAGAAAUAUGUGAAUUCUUUCUUCGAGCUUUCUUAGUUUUGAGGUGUACUCGGGCUAAUUGUUGGGAGAAAGUUAUGAUGGUGACAAGGAUAAUUACGGUGAUCACGAGUUUCUAUCUACAAAGGCUUGUCCAAUUAACUAGUGCAUAUUAUUGCCAAAAUGUAUUUUGAUACUGUUUACUUAAAUUGUUUCCUUUUGAUUAACACGCUAGGACUAAUAAAACAACAGUUCAUGCAAUUUUAACUUGACCUAUGUAUACACAUGAUAUUGCAGAGAUCAUUUUACUAUGAUUUAUCAGAAGAGGAAUUGGCUCGAGUUCAUGAAUACAAUUUUGAUCACCCAGGUAUUCUAUUUUUCUGGAAAAUUAAACCUGUUCACAUGAUUAUAAAUCUUUACAUUGUCAUAAUUAGUUAUCUAAUCAUUGCCAAUAGAAAUGCUAGAGUCAUACUCUUAUUUCUCCAUUUGAUACCCUGAUUUUUUUUUUUUCUUUGUUCUUCUGUGGCCACAAGAUCUAAUUGAAUGUUUCCUGUGUAAAAUAGGGAGAAAAAAAAGAAAAAAAAAAGAAAAAGAACCACAUUGAGUAGCUCUUUAGUCAAAAAUGUAUGCCAUCUCAUUUAUUCUACUUGAUUCAUGUAAUAAGGAUUUUGCUCUUUUUAUGGGAAUAUCUCUCUGUAAUUUCAGAUGCCUUCGAUACUGAAUACUUGCUUUCGUGUAUGGAGAACUUGAAGCAUGGGAUUGCUGUUGACAUCCCUAAUUAUGAUUUCAAAACUCAUAAAAGUAUAUUGCCACCGCGGAAGGUAAUCAAGUUGCUAAAGUUGUGGUUCAUAUUGUUUUAUAACACAUUGAGAUUCUGAGGAACCUGAAGCUUUGAGAGCACUUGCAAUGACAGCUAUCUUCCUGUUUUUCCUAAGACCAACAUGCCUUAUAUGUAAUUGUCAAUAUGAUUGUAUGUCCGUAUGGUCUCAUUAGACACUUCAUUUUUCUGUAGUAUUCUUUGUGUAUACUACAUAUUCUCACAUAGUUAAAAUGGAAAGCUUCAAAUUUACUUCAUUCUGACCUCCUAUUUAUACUUCCAUCUCGAAUUUCUAUGUAGAAAUGCUUAAUUGUGUACAAUUGAAAUUUCUUGAUCUGCUAAUCUUACUGCUCUGUGAAGUCGUUGGAAUCUGAUUUGCUGUGUUUUAUUGCUAUAAGUCAUAGGAACACUGGUGUUGUUUCAAGUUUCGACAUUUGAUGUACUCUUGAUUCAACAUGGUUUCUAUAACUCCUCUAGUUUUUUUAUUAUUAUUAUUAUUAUUAUUAUUUUUUUCUCUCAUGUAAGUGUACCAAUUCCCAAUUUUCUUGAUUCUUUUCAGGUCAACCCUUCAGAUGUCAUUAUUUUGGAAGGGAUUUUAGUAUUCCAUGAUCCACGUGUUCGCGAACUAAUGAAUAUGAAGAUCUUUGUUGAUACAGGUCAUAUCUCUCAUCCUCUUCUAUUAUGAACAUAUUAUACAUUAUAUACAUUUAUAUCAAUCAUGUAUAUCUUAACCAUGUAUCCUCAAUCUCUUGUUCAUGUGAAUUGGAGAGCUAUAGAUAACGAUCAUGUGAACUCUGGAACAUUACACAGUAUUAACGCAUGUUGUGUGCCAUGUCAUGUAAAAAGUGGUUGCAUGUCAUGAGUUUGCAACCUUGGCAGUGUUAUUGCUAUACUUAAUGCUUAGUGGUCUUCUGGGGUGCAUGAUGCGGUGCCUUGACUUUUGGUGAAUAAAGCCGAAAGAACUCUCAGCAUUUACCUAGUGUAUUUUAGCUAUUAAACAUUUUCUUGUCUGGGGUAAUUACAAUGAAUCUCUAAAUCCGUCUAAAUAACUGAGAUUCCCCUUGGUGCUUUUUACUGCAUAAGAGAAAUAUUUGCUGAUCAUAUUGAAAUUCACGUCUUAUUAUUACUCUUAUUUACUGCUGAAGAACUAUAAUGGAUAUAUUUCUUGUCUCAACUAAAUUCUCAAUCUUUGUCGUAAUUCAGAAAGAAAAAUACCUAGCUGUCUAAUUAAGAAUGUUUAUGGAUGUGCAUGUUACAUGCAUUCAGGUCAUGUAUUUUUCUAUAUUUUUCCUAGACAGUUGCUUCUGUACUAUUACUGCUGGGACCUCUGCUGUUAAGUUGUUACUUAUAGCCACUUAAUAUAUGCAGAUGCUGAUGUACGGCUAGCAAGGAGGAUUUGGCGUGAUACUGCUGAGAGGGGUAGAGAUAUCAAAACAGUGCUGGAUCAGGUUUGAUGUAGCAACUUUUCUUUUCUGUAGUAACUUUUUCUUUCUUAUCCUUCUUAUAAUUCACAGUGAUGUAUAUUCGUGGGUCCACUACUAGGUCAGUUUUGAUGUAAUAUUGACAUAGAAGAAAUCUUCAGAACCUCAUGUCUGGAUCAGUUAAUAUUCCAAAUUAUCAGAGUAUAUAUUUGUACUAGUCGACUAUUCUUGGUCCAAGUUGUUACAUACAGUUUUUUUUGUUUUUUGGAGGUUUCUACUUUUGUUAACUUAACAUUAAGAACUAGGUUAUUGGAAGAUGAUAAUGGCAAUGCUAAAUAUUAAUUUCUAUAAACAACUUAUACGUACAUUUAAACAAUUUAGUUUUUUCUGCUAAUUGCAGAUUGCAAGACAUCACAUCUGCUCUUAGGUUCAGAAGUUUUUAAAUCUAUAGCGCCCCAAAAUUUCCCUUGUAUUUUCUAAUAUUGUUUUAGAAUAAUGAACAUGAGUGAAGUUGGAUAAGAUCACAUAGAUAAAAAUCUGCGGUUUGACUGAGCUUAAGAAGAAUAAUUAUCUUUGGUAUCUUGAGGUACAUAAUGAAGGUAAAGCGAUUUCUAUCUAGGAGGCAUCAUCACUUACAAAAAUGGAAGUUGGAGGUGGUAGUUAGAUAAAAUACUUGGCUUGAACUUGAGUUUGGAAUAAUAAAGAAUAUUGGAUGGUGAAUGUAGUGAAAAAAGAGAAGGAAAUCUUUUGCUGAUUAGCGUAUGCCAAUUCACAGGAGUGAAAGGCAAAUAAACGAUUUCUUCAAAUUGGCAGAACGAAGGAUUUUUUGUAGUUGCCAUGGUUAUGAACUUAUGAUUAUUUCUUCUUGCCUUUAAAUGCAUAAUUUUCUUUGCAUCUUGUUCUUGCGAGUAAAUGCUAUCCAAUUUGUUUGCAGUACUCGAAAUUUGUCAAGCCUGCUUUUGAGGACUUCAUACUCCCGACAAAGAAGUAUGCUGAUAUUAUCAUUCCCCGAGGUGGAGACAAUCAUGUAGCAAUUGACUUGAUUGUGCAGCAUAUACACACUAAACUCGGUCAACAUGAUCUUUGUAAAAUAUAUCCAAAUCUGUAUGUCUUUCAAUCAACUUUUCAGGUACCGAAUGUACGAAUAUUGUACCUGAAAUUUUAUUCACAGUACAUUGCAGAUGCUUGAGUACAGGCUAAAAUUUUUGCUUUAUAUCAAGCUCUUUUAUAACUUGAUAUGUUUUGUUGAUCUGUGUGUCUUCAAAACUUCUUACAGAUACGUGGCAUGCAUACUCUAAUACGCGAUGCAAAAACUACAAGGGAUGACUUCAUAUUUUAUGCUGAUCGCCUGAUUCGCUUGGUUAGUAUAUAAGGUUCCUUUUUAAUAAAUUUUAUUUGAUACUUCAUCUUAUUUUAAUGCUUACCUUUUAACAGGUUGUCGAGCAUGGUCUAGGCCAUCUUCCGUUUAAGGAAAAGCAGGUGAUAACUCCAACUGGUAAGUAGGUGCCAUACAUUAUUACAAGACCAUGAUUGUGUUGGGCAUGUGCAAAUUGUUUAAAAACAUUAGUCGGUCGGUCAUUACUUGAUUAGCAUUCUUGUCUAAUUAAUGAAAUCACAUUGGAAUAUUAUCUUAUAAAUUCUCUCGUUUAACAUUUAUUUGUCAGUGUCAGUGAAGAUUGGUAGUUGUUUUUAAGCCUUCCCACCAGCCCAACUCUCUAUAGUCAAUUUAACCACUCUAAAUUGGAUAGAGACCUCAUAUUGUUAACGUGAGCUUGUUGACAGCUGAAGACAGAAAGGAAUUAAUUAGUAUUAGUUCUACUAUUCUCAAAAAUCACACUUAAUUCUAGAUUAUAAGUAACUAAUCAAAGAUCCUAGCAAGACAGUGCUUGUUGUAGAGGAGGUAGAUCUUGCCGUGGAUCUCAGUAGCAUUGGUCAAGUUGGGCGGAUGGCAUCAUCGAUUUUGAGGAUGGUGGAGGAGCAGAGGCGACUGAUGGAGUGGUGGAGGAGAUCUGAGACGACGAGGAGAAGAGAGCUACAUGGGGGAACAAGUUGAGCUAUGCAUGGUCAAGGGAGGAGAUGAAGCAGGCGACAGCAGGGACAGAGAGGAAAGGGAAGAGGCAAUAGAGCGGAGGUUGUCAGAGAGGACAUCAAAGCUGAAGCAGUGCUGAAGGAGGUGAAUCAUGUCCUGGAUGGACUUGGUGGAAGGGUCUGAUGAGAGGGCUUGGAAAGUGAUGGGUUCAGAGAUGAUGAGCUCAGUGUCGGAUCAGUGGUGAUGCAAGGGUGGUAUUGGAGGUUGUAGCAUUGAUUGAAAAAGAAAGCAUUGAUGGGAAAGGAAUGCUAGGCAGAGCUAUUAGGGGGAAGGGUAACUGAGUUGUGCAGCAAGGUUUUUUUCUGCAAUGGUUGUCAGCCGUUGAAACAUAAAAGUUGCACCUGAACCUCCCCCCACCCACCCGACAAUAAAGAAAAUUCUAUUAUCGACUAGGAAAUCCAUCGCAAAGUGGACAGAAUACCGCAAAUAAUUUGAACUGUUGCUAAAAAUAUUCUUUGGUGAUGAUUGUUGUGAUCAUGGCUACAGGAGCCAUCAGUAGACAUCAAAUCUCUGUUGUGAAUAUGCUGUCCCUGCAGUCCUGCUUAUUUGUUUUUGCUAUAAUGUGGUGUGGAAUUACUUUCUCAACAAUAUUGGUUCAUUCUGAUGCUUGUCUUAUCUGUGAUGUUAUGAUGCCAAUUUAUGCAUAUUAAAUUCUGCUUGGAAGGGUAAAUACUUAUGUGUAUUUACUAUGUACUGCAGGAUCUGUAUACACUGGAGUAGAGUUCUCUAGAAGAUUAUGCGGCAUUUCAGUUAUUAGAAGGUAAUCAUUUCAACCCUUUUUGCAGCGUUAUCUGCUAUCAUGUUGACAUAUCAUAGUAGCAGGGGCUAUGCAGGAACACUUCAUGUUCAAACUUGACAGUCUCUUUGAUGGUAGUCUAAUGUAUAUAUAUGUAUUAAUGAAGCUCACUCGUCCUUUAAAUUUGCAAACAUCUAAGCCUUGAAUAAAUAGGAAAUGAGUUUAUUCAACCUGUUAUUUGUAACCCUGAUCUCUCUCUCUCUCUCUCAUAUCUAUAUAUGUGUGUGCACACUUCCUUUGUCUCUCUUACUCGCGCUUAAUUUUGAUCACCAAAAUGUAUCUUGUGAUUUUAUGUUGUAUCUAUUAUUAAAAUGCUUCCAGUGGUGAGAGCAUGGAGAAUGCACUGCGGGCUUGUUGUAAAGGCAUCAAAAUAGGGAAGAUCCUUAUCCACAGGGAAGAAGGAGAUAACGGCCAGCAGGUUCGCAGUUAAUCAGCUGUAUCUUUGAUUUAUCCCCAUAGGUUAAUUUUCUGAGUAAUCUCCUCUUUUUUUCAGCUUAUCUAUCACAAUUUGCCAAAAGAUAUAUCAGAUAGGCAUGUUCUUCUGUUGGAUCCAAUACUAGGCACAGGUUAGUUCGUUUAAUUUUAAUCACUCUGGAUUUGAUUGUGUAAAAAGAUUUUCUUUCGUUCCCAAUUGCCGCUAGCAUUGAUUUUCUUCACCUGUCUGUACGAAGUUUAGUGAACUUAAUCAUUGGCCAAUUUAAAACUCUGGAAAAUUGUUGUUUUAUUGAUAAAAAGCCCCAUUAACAAGUUAAUUGUAGAAUGAUAUCAGGUAUGUCCACCUUGCCUAGUUGAUUGUCAUGCUGAUGUGUCCCUUUUUAUCCUCUUAUCCUGUGCCAGGCAAUUCUGCUGUUAAGGCUAUAUCUUUGCUCCUGUCGAAGGGUGUACAGGAGGCCAAUAUUAUAUUCCUUAACCUCAUAUCUGUAAGUUUGGGUACCCCAAGGACUUCUCCUCUUUCCGAACUCAAAUUCUUUCAUUUCAUCGCCAAGGUUCUGUUUUAUAAUCUGGUGCAUUUGGUAUGUGAGGGAGAAAUGUUCAAAUGUAGGGAGACUAAAUUAAAUUUUUGUCAGUCCACUGGCGUGUCAUGCGAACGAACUUCAAGAUUUAAAAUACAUAAAACAUAAUAAUGCUUUUGAACAAAAGCCUAGACUAUCUAAAUCGAUACACUCCAGCCUUCUCAGUAUCUUAUGCAGAAUUUUGCUGAAAUUGCGUAUGUUCCCAUGAUCAGGCUCCUCAGGGAGUACAUGUAGUUUGCAAAAGGUUCCCGAGGAUUAAGAUUGUGACAUCUGAGAUUGAGUUUGGGCUAAACGAGGAUAUCCGUGUCAUUCCUGGCAUGGGCGAGUUUGGAGAUAGGUACUUCGGAACAGACGAGGAUUAGGCAAAAGACACCGAAUUCAGUAAGUUGUUUCUUUAGCAUUGCGGGUUAUUUCACAAGAACAGUGUAGAACACCAUGCAUCGGGAAGCCUAACUCUUUUAUGUUUUCUUUUUCGUUUUUUUGUAGGAAUAGACUUUUUUGUUCUGAGUGACAAUUGCGGUUAUAGGUAGCACGGUAUUUUUCGAGUGAUCUCUGUUCCUAUUUGAACUCCUUUUUGUUGCCCGUGUCGGUGUGUGCGCUUCAUUGUUAUCUUUCUAGACGCAAAUGUAAUAUGCCAUCCUCAUUUACUUACCUGAUUAAUUCGACUCCAACUAUUUGGGGAUUACAUGAUAUGUGUUUUAUAUUUUCAUAUAUUUCCCUAAGAAUAGAUUGAUUGUGCUUCAUCUAGGGGUCAUCGUAUUUUCGCUCUCAUGUUAUUUGAAUGAUGUUAGCCUGUUACACACAUGCAGUCGCAGAGCCAGGAUUCUCAUCUAGCACGAGCACUGCAGAAACUACAAAACAGUUAUGUAAAUUUGUGCAACUUAAUUAAAACACAGUUGCUAUUAUAUUUGGUUUUUGAACAAAGUGAUGUGAAUCACUCCUACAUGAUGCUGCAUCGAAAGAUCAAGUCGAAAACUUUCAACAAAUAAACCACUCUACAAACGAUCUUGUGAUCAAACUUAAAAAAGAGUGGAAAGCGGAGGAAGCGCAUAGAGAAUUAAAAGCAAUAAAGCUCUUGUAAUUAUGCAGUUUAUAUCGUGAUAUUCAUUUGUUUCGAGAUAUUGGUAAAAACUUUGGUACUAUUUAACAAUUUCUUAUUUUUGAGGAAUUAUUGCAAUAUUGUUAUUAAGGAAAUAGGUGUAAGUACAAUUAUCGAUAUAUUCUGAAAAGUUGUGUGCACAAAUUUCUUUUGCUAUUCUAGGUGCAACUUUUCUUGUUAAUUAUGCAGUGUAUAGAAAAGUAGGUUUAGGUGAUAUUCUAUUUGGCGCCAAAUCUAAAUAGAAUUCUAUGGAAUAGCAAUAAUUAUAUAGUAAAAAAAUUCUGACCAAAUUCAAUAUCAAUAUUACGGAAAUUGGAUCAGAGUUAUUUGUGUUAUUAGAAAGUUUGCUAAAUCAUUCCAAAUUAAUUGAAUUUUUAUUAAUAACAAACAACUAAUUUGUAAAAAUUAGAAUUUUAAUUAUUUAGAAUUAUAGAAUUAGUGGCCAACACUAUUAACCGGUUUAAUUCGACCAUCAUUCAUCCAUUCUCAACCCGGACCGGACGGUUCACUUUCUAGGGCUCCCGCAGCGGUUAGACACUCCAAUCGGACGGUGAGGCGACUCCGAUCAAAUCGAUCUAAAAUUUCGACGGUCGAGAUCAGACGAGUCCCCGCCACCUCUCCGACUAUAUAAUCCCUUCCUCCGCAGCUUCGUAACGCUCUCCUUCUUCUUCUUCGACUAGGGUUUCCGCCUCUUCCCACUCGUUCGCCUCCAAAACCCUAACCCCAGCCGAAGCCCCGAAAUGGUAUGGAUCUCUCCUUUGAUGAUUCGCUUAUUACUUCCCCUCUCUGAUCUCUAGAACCUUGUUUUCCUCGCAAAAUUCGAUUUUCUCAUAGCAUUUUACCGCGAACCCCACUUCCCAGAUCUAGGUUUUUUGUGCUUCAUCUUCUUCUCAUCCACAACAAUCCCGUGUAUUUUAUGCUCUCCCACGUCAAAAAUUUCCUAAUUUUUUGGCUAUUUUACGGAUUUAUGCGCUGUUUUUUUCUUCAGGCUCCCAAGAAGGGUGUUAAGGUGCCGGCCCCUGCGAAAAAGAAGACGGUAUUAAUCUUAUUUACUCCACCAUUUUCCCCCAAAGCCAUUUAGGUUAUGUGUUAUUGAUCCAAGUUUUCGUUUUUUGAUUUUUGAUUUUUGAUUUUUGAUUUUUGAUUUUUUUUUUUUUGGUUCUGUGUAGGAGAAGGUAGUGAAUCCGUUGUUCGAGAAGCGGCCGAAGCAGUUCGGGAUCGGCGGGGCGUUGCCGCCGAAGAGGGACCUCACCCGAUUCGUGAAGUGGCCGAAGGUGGUGAGGAUCCAGCGGCAGAGGCGGAUUCUGAAGCAGAGGCUCAAGGUUCCCCCGGCUCUGAACCAGUUCACUCGAACCCUCGAUAAGAAUCUCGGUAACUCUUCUUCUUCUCCUCUUUUAAAUUUAAUUUUUACUGCUAUAUCUUUUUUCGUAGAAAUGUACAGUGGCUCCCUCAAUUGUAGGCUAUCCCCUAAUGUUUAAGUUACUUCCAUAGAUGUUCGUAUUAUGCUGAUGGAGUGCUGAUGCUUAAUGUAAUGUAUUUAAUUUAAUUAAUGUAUAUCUUUUUCUGCUACUAUUUUACUCGUCAGAUGAUAUCUUUGAUCCUGAGGAAAUUACGCGGUCUUAAGUAAAUGUAUACUUCCACUAUGUUUAUGGCUGUUUGUUGAGAUAUUGAUGCAUCUCAAGCAACUUCCUUUCCUUGUAACUAAGGAUGUUAUCUCAAUGGUGUUCUUGAAUUAAACAUUUAGUAGUCAAUUUACUGUACGAUUAAUUUGGAUUGAAUCAACUCAUCUUCCGGUGUAAGUUGCAUGCACUUGAUGAUCAUUUGGUAGCCAUCUGAGAGAAUUUGAUUUCAGGGAAGUGAGGGGUCUCAGAAACAGGAGUUAUGCGACUUACGUCACAUUUUGUCACUUUGUGUCAAAACGAACAACGGAACUCCCUGCUUCUGCCAAAACCUAUUUUCUCUUUUCUCGCUUUACAGCACAAACGAAAUGUACCCUGCACAUGGGUUGGGGGAAGCUCAGCUAAGUAUUCAGUAAAAAAAACUACUAAUGUGUGCAUGGUUUCGUUGCAGCAACCAACUUGUUUAAGAUGCUCUUGAAGUACCGGCCUGAAGAUAGAGCUGCUAAGAAGGAGCGGCUUUUGAAUAGGGCUCAGGCGGAGGCCCAGGGGAAAACUGUUGAAGCGAAGAAGCCGAUUGUGGUGAAGUAUGGUCUUAAUCAUGUGACCUACCUCAUUGAGCAGGUAAUUUAUGAUUUUUCUUAAAAAAAAUUUGUUACCUUAUAAUUUAUGCCAUGGGUAUUUUGUUACUGCAUUGUUAAGUUUAAUACGGUAAUUUACUUGUAAUCUUGUUUUCUUGCCAAUACAUGUGAAUUCUGUUUUUAUACUUCGUGUUUCUGAUUAUAACACUUCACUGCUUGAGGUAGUUUUCCUAGUUGCUCAUUAGAAGUUAGCAUUGGAAUCGAGAUAGCAUUGGAAUCGAGCAUGUGGCAUUCACAAGGCUUCUUUAAGCUACCCUGUCGUAGUGGGAUCGAUAAAAUUACGCAAUUAAAUUCUUAUUUGCAGUAUUUCGAAUGAGAUGUGUGGCUAUCACUUUCUGUGUGUAAUGGGCUGAGCACGUGGCUUCAAACUGUUUAUAUGGAAUCUCACCUUAUUCUCACCUUAUCUCUCCUUAUAAGCAUCUCUUUCCUAGUCACUUUUAACCUGUUUGUGAUCACUCUCUUAUAUUCCUUUAAUUAGGAAAAACUGGGCCCAUUUUCUUAUUCGAUUUAAUAUCUUUCACGUUAUAAUUUGUGGUUAUAUAACUUUAUUUUUUUGUUUUUCCGCAGAAAAAGGCUCAGCUAGUGGUGAUUGCUCAUGAUGUCGACCCUAUCGAACUAGUGGUUUGGCUUCCUGCCUUGUGCAGAAAGAUGGAAAUUCCCUACUGCAUCGUGAAAGGGAAAGCGCGACUUGGAGCUGUGCGUAUACAUCUGUUCUCUCUUAGCACUUUUUUUUUUUCCUCUUUCUUCCUCUCUCUAAAUUAUGGAGUGGUGCUGAUGCGUAUAUUGUUCGACGUGCAUUUUUCUUAGAUCGUGCACAAAAAGACCGCCGCCGUCCUCUGCUUGACGACUGUGAAGAACGAGGACAAACUCGAGUUCAGCAAGAUUUUGGAAGCCAUUAAGGUGAGGAAAACAAGUGAUACCGUGUUCAUACUCUUUUAACUUGUUUUUGUUUUCCCGCAUUGAGUUAACUAAUGGUAACCAUUUAUAUUUAGGCCAACUUCAACGACAAGUUCGACGAGAUCAGGAAGAAAUGGGGUGGCGGCAUAAUGGGCUCCAAAUCUCAGGCGAAAACCAAGGCUAGGGAAAAGCUCCUCGCCAAGGAAGCCGCUCAGAGGAUGACCUAGAUUAUCUCUUUGAUAUAUUUUCUUUUUCUCGUGGAACGCUUUUGUUUCUGUAAUUUAUGAAAUGAACUUAAUUUGCGAUUCUCGCCGUAUUUGCAUCCGGGUUUGGAGACAGUAUAUCAUGUUCUCUGCAGUAUUUAGUGACUUCUUAGUGAAUUUUGCUCUCUAUGAGGACAAUUUAUCUUGCAUUUUGGUUUAACUGAUUCCGUUUUCGAAAUUUACGCAAUCUGAAGCUGAAGAGAUUGAUAGCCGUGAAGAAUUAUUUGUGUAAAGUUGAAAAUUGAACAAAGUCCAAAAAGUGACAAAUUACUUGUUUGCAAAUUGCUAUAUUUACUUUUUGAGAGUUUUGAUGCCAAAAUUGUUAGUUUGAGGUGAUUUUGGUCCUCUUGGACAUUUUAGUUGAUGACCUCUUUUUACCACAAAAUUUAACAAUUUUAGCCUGAGGUUUACAUGAUAGUAUAAAAUGACAUGAAAAUGGAAUAAACAGGUUAGAGAUGAAAUUAGUCAGUAAAGAUAAUUGCUAUAAAGUUCUUUUUAAAGAAUAUAAUAGUUAUUUUAAUAAAAAAUUAAUUUAAAAUGACCAAUAAAGUCAGAGUGAGAGAGAGAGAGAGAUAUUUUCAAGUUUUUUGGUGUGUUAAUCAAACCAACUAGAACUUUGAGCAAUAUAAAUGCAUAGACUCACUAUAGUUAAUUUUGUUUAUAAAAUUGUGAGAUUUAUAUUAAUUAAUACUAACAGUAUUUAACAACUUUUGAGGGUAUAAAGGUGACAACAUGGUGCAAAAUCCCCAAAAAAUUGUCCAUAUAUUAAUAUAAUAUAUUUUAUGUUAUUUAACUACAAAGAAUUAUUAUUAUUAUUAUUAUUAUUAUUAGUUAGUAUUUUUCAUUAUUAUUUACUCUACCCUCCUCUCUCUCUCUCUCUCUCUCUCUCGUUCUCUCUCCAUCCAAACUCCCAAAACUUGCCAUUCUCGCAAACGAUCUCACUCGCAACUCUCUCUCGCUCCUUCGUGCGAUCGCUCAAAACCCUAAUCCCAUCCUUCUCCACCGAUCUCGCGCUCUCCAAUCCCCCAAGAUCGCAAGGUUCUCCUUCGAUCGCGAAACCCUAAUUCUUCUUUCUCUCGCUCUCGUUCCCGGUUGGAUCUUGCUGUGUUCCGGCGAUUACGAUGGCGGAGGGGAAGGUGGACCGGGCGGAGGAGUUCGUCGGCGCCGACAAAGCUGCGGCGGUGGCGGCGUCGGCCGGGAAAGGUGAGCACUUCCCCGCGCCCUCUCGCACUUGGGCUUCGAUUGUAGUAUUUUGAUCGGAUCGGUUAAAAUUAGGGCUCCUCUUUGUGACUACUGUAUUCGGAUAUUUAUUUUUCUUUUUUAAUUUUUAUUUAUGUUUGCAUAUUGUAUUACCUCUUCAGGAGUUGUUUCUUUUAAAUGUAUCAGUGUAAUCUUUUUCCUCUUUGUUUUUGUUUUUUUGGCUAAUCGGGAAGUGGUAAUAUUUGGGAUAAGAAUGGUUUUUCUUUGUUUUUGUAAAUUUUUCUCUAGAGACUGAAAUCUCUGAUUCUGUUACUUCUGGGGACUGUUUCUUUUCAUUCUACCUUCUUCGUGAUUGCUCAAUUAGAUUUUUUUUUUUUUUAAAUCAUCUAAAUUGGAUGCUUAUUUUUUCCUGCUAUAUUUUCAGCAGCUCUUUCCUUAGGACACACUGAGGAGAAGGUUCCUCUGGGAUUUCUUGGUGAAUCAAAAGGUGAAUUUCCUGUCGCUUUCUCUCUAACUUGGUGGUCUAUUCUGUUUAUAGGUUAAUCAGUAACGAUCUCUCUCAAAGGAAAUGUUAUAACCUCUUAGGGCUGGUGCUUGCUUUGUAUUUGAACCACGGCAUUGUUUAGCUUCGGGAUAGCGGGUGACAACUCCAGUUAUCCAGCUUAUCUUGCGAAUACAUUAGAAGAACCAUGCAGGAUGUUCUUCUUAUCAAGUUGGGUUAUUUAGGAUAAAAUGCGAAUUUCAAGUCCAGACAACAUAAGGGAUUGUCAUUUCUAUCACUUCCUUCCCUGUUAUCUUCACAAUCAUAAUAUUUAUCCCUUAUCGGUGUAGCUGUUCUCGCCGUGUAAAUCUAAAAGCAACAAAUUGAUUUUGUUCUCCGAUAGCCUGGGAUAACAGAAUAACCUAAUAUAGGGAAAGUUAUUCUGAUAGAAUCUGUUAACAAAUUAAAUGCAUCCGAUGAGAUUACCUUUAAGUGAGCAUUGGAAUGUACCUAGCAGAACAAUACUGAUUCUGGAUUCACAAGGCAUCAUUAAAAUUCAAAAACAUUGUGGAUUUGUGGAGCUAGUGGAUUGUUGUGAUAAAUUGAAUAUAAGAAGAGUUUCGCACAGCAACUCUUGGUCGUAAUUAUGCUUGCAGUACUUGAAGCAUAAUACAAUGCUUUACCGGCUAAGGUUUCAAUGAGGAAUAUGGUUCUACUGAUGGAAAGAGUGGUGUCUUCUGAUGUGCUUUUGCCUUCAGUGGACUACCUUAGACUCUUCUGGUUACCACUCGGUUGGUGAAAACAUUUCGUAUUGUGUAUUUUCUUGUUCAAUUAGGUGCUAUAUUUCAUGGUAAUGGGCACUUUUGUUUUGUUGGAUAUGCAGUUUAGUCUAGCUUGCACUAUAUAUGUUAGGAUCUCGUCGUUCAUGGCGGAUUAUACUAAUAUUUCUUGAAUGCGGUGCAUAAAAAGUCCUCCUGAAAUUAUAAUAUCUUAAAUUGUUUCUGGCGCUGCAGAUCAGCCAUUUUCAGAGAAUAGCAUUCCUCUUUCUCCCCAAUGGCUCUAUGUUAAACCGAUUGAUAGCAAGGUCAGCAUUUCUUCUCACUCAUUUGUAUAUACCUGUCAUUCUAUGGAUUCUUGUUACUUGUUUAUUGUUUUACAUAAAUUGGAUUUGGUCAGAAUGCAUAAUUUGAUCAGUCGAUAGUCUAGGGACAUGCUAAUUCAGUUUCUUUAACUUCUUUCUUUUCUUUCCUUUUCUUUUCUUUUCCUUGUAAAUUCUUAUGGAUCAACUUAACAUUGUGCUUAGUCUGUGAAGCCUAGCUUCUAGUAAAGGUUUACAUUAUUGAUCAGGCCUGUUGUUGGGCCUUAGUAUUUCAGGCUUGUUUGGACAUUUGGUUUGUAGGAUCUCUCAAUCAUUAUGACUGCAAGAGAGAACUUCUUGGGACUCUGGGAUAUGCAAAAAGUUAGUUAGAAAGUUAUUUAGUUCAUGCUUGGCAAUUUUGUUAUUUAGAAGGAUAUUUAGCUAAAUGCAGCUAGUAAUGGAUCUAUUCCCUUUGGUUCAGUAAGAUAUGUUCUCAUACUAUAUAUUGUCUACUUGUCUUAUAUAGAGAAGGCGGGAUUUUUGGGGAAACAUUGUUAGAUGUUCAAUGAUUCUCUUUUCCUUUGUCAAAGAGCUACCUUUUCGUGGUUCUCUCUUAUUUUUUCUCAACUGUUUGCCAUAGGAUGGUCGGCCACAAAAUUCUUCAUCUCAUGGAUCUUCACCAGAUUCGGCUCAGAAAGAUGCUUGGCGUCUGGAUGGAUCUCAAGAUAAGAAAGAAAGGAGGAGGAAUGCACCUGACAUCGAAAAUACUCGUCGCUGGCGCGAAGAGGAGAGGGAGACUAGCUUACUUGGUAGGAAGGAACGGAAAAAUGAACGUCGUAAUGGCAAUAAUACUUCGAGAGAGUCUUCGGAUUCUCGGAUUUCACAUUCAUCUGAAAGGUGGAAUGAAGCUCCCGUCCGUAAUGCAGGGAAUGAAAGUCGACGUGAUAGCAAAUGGUCAUCACGAUGGGGGCCAGAGGACAAAGAGAAGGAAUCUCCACCAGAUAAAAAGUUGGAUGCGGAUAAGGAAAAGGAUGAUUCUCAUGCUGAAAAGCAGCCUAUAAUUGGGAACCCCCGUCUGCCGUCGGAGUCAGAUUCUCGUGAUAAAUGGAGGCCUCGUCACCGUCAAGAAAAUCGUGCAGCUCCAGGAUUUGGGCCACAAAGAGGACGUGGUGAGGGUUCAAGUGUGGGGUUUGCACCUGGGAGGGGUAGAGCAAAAACCAAUGUGGUCUUGCCAUUUAGCAGUUCAGCGUCUACUGGGCUGAUUGGUGCUUCACCUAUAAGAACAUCUGGUAUAUUGACAGACACUUUUCGCUAUCCUAGGGGGAAACUUCUUGAUAUAUACCGGAAGCAGAAGACACUUUCAUCCUUUGACACUAAACCUGAGGGCCUUGAGGAAGUUCCUUGUAUUACAUUUUCUAGCACGGUGACACCACUGGCCUUUCUUGCACCUGAGGCAGAUGAAGAGGUAUGCUUAAGUCAGUGAUUAUCAAUUAUGCGUUAUGCUUCAUUUGCACACUUUUUCCAUUUAACGCAGUGAAUUUUUGCAUUUUGCAUGUUUGCAUCUGCAUCAUUUCUUACAUUACAUCGAUAGCAUCGGUGAAUCUCUAAGAUAAAGAAGUUUGUUUAGGUAGUGAUCUUGCAUAUCUCGUUGGAGUACCUAUUUUGGGAGGAUUACUUGCCUUUAUUUCACUUGACUACCUACUCUUCUGUGAGAGUUUAAAAAGUAAUAAGGAGAAUUUAAUUAUCUGUUACAUUAUUAGUUACAUUAGUUGAUAUUUAUUUUACCUUCUCCGUCUCUGAAGUGAUUUACAUUGUUGGUGGUAGGCUCUUUUAGAGGACAUCUGGAAAGGAAAGGUCACAAGCAGUGAAGAAAACUGUUCAAGCAAUGACCAGAUGAAGGGAGUUGAUGACUUGGGGGACAAAACAUAUGGUGAAAUAUCUUCCAGCUUCAUCGAAGGAUCCUCUGCAGGUUUAUAUGAAAAGUUUCUCAAUUUUGCUAUUUUUUUCCUUUUUCUCUUCAUCAAUUAUUCUUUUCCUUUUAAAAUCCCUGAAUGUGUUUGUUUCAUUCCAAAUUAGAUUCUGGAGUAGGGGAAAGCAAGGAUAAACUGAACUCUUUGACUUCUGGCUUGGAUAAAGAUGAUAUAGCUCCAGCAGUUUCAGAAAGUGAUGUUUGUAUGGAUUCCGAGGAGAAAGUCAUUGAGGAUGUAAAUUCUGAUUUCGUGAAGAACAUGAAGUUAGAUUGCUUGGAGUCAAGUUCUGGUUUUGAUGUUAGUGCUAAGCUACCUGAUGAUUCCAAUUUACUGUUCGAUACUCCAUUCAUCGACAGCACUCCAAAACCCACCAAAUUCUAUCAAAAUUCUGUUUCUGAAGUAAAGUCCUUAGAGGAUGAUAAUGCUUCGGAAGAGUUAAGCUUGUUUUACCUGGAUCCUCAAGGAGUUACACAGGGGCCAUUUCUAGGUGCUGACAUCAUCUCCUGGUUCCAAGAAGGAUAUUUUGGUAUUGAUCUACUUGUAUGCCGUUCAGAUGCUCCAGAGGGCACUCCUUUCCGCCCACUCGGUGAAGUUAUACCACACUUGGCCUUAAAACCUGGAACAGGUCCUAUUGUCUCUCCUAGUGAGAAAUCUGAGGCCUUGGAUUCUAAAAGAAGCAACUUGGAGGCAAUACUUCCUUCUUCUGAUAUAAGAGAUACUUUUCCCACAAAUGGCCAGGAAUGGGCUACUUCUAAAUCAUGGUCGGAUCAAGCAAGCAAGUUUGUUACCGACGAGUAUAAGGUUUCCAGUUCAGAAGGGCAACGCUUGCAAGAUCUUGGAGGGCAGGAUGUCGAAGGUUAUUUAUUUAUUUAUUUUUUCUAUUGAAUGCUAUGUCACUUUUAGAUUUCUAGAAAUAUAGCACUGCAAAAUUUUCUAUUCUAAAUUUGUCUGUACAUAUCUGAAUUUUCAUAGGUGCCCUUGAAAACUUUCUUACAUAAAUACCCUUCUACUUACAAAGAAUGCUGAUCCUGAAAGAACUUGUACAGAAUUAGCUUUAACCGAUGAUUGAAUACAAAUUCCCAACUUAAGGGGUACUUUUCAUGAAACUUCACUUUGUAGGGUAAUAUGUCAAAAUACAGAUUUUAAGGGUAUAUAUGUGUAUGCAUAUAUAUUUUGCAUGGGCACGUAUGUGACUAGCCCUUUCAUAUGUGUACUUUCUGUCUACUUUUUUGUUCUGCCAUUAAAGAUCGUUUACAUGGGCAUGUACGUGAAAAGCCUUUUCAUACGUGUAGUUUCUGUCUAUUUUUUUGCUCUGCCAUUAAAGAUUGUUCUGUCCUUUUAUUUACUGCAGAAGUGCUGUACACAGGGAGGCCUAAGAGUCGGUCGGACUCCGUGCUAGAAAAUCUUCCUAAUGAGCACAAGGAUUCAUCAUUUUCCUCUAGUAGUCACCAUUUUAUUGGGUCUGAAGUAGGAGAAGCUGGUUUACGGGGCCAUAAAGUUUCAAAGGGUAAUGAUCCAAACCUUCUUGGGUUGUUCUGGUCUGAGCUGGAAGGAAUGCAUUCAAAAGGCCCUCUUUCAUCCAAUACAGCUAGCAAUCUUGAUCAGUGGAUAGUUAAUAACCAACAGGAUAAAUUUAAUAUGAUUGAUGAUACCUCCAUUAAUCCCGAUGAAUGGCCCGCUGAUCAUAUGAGGAACAACCAUUCAAAUGUAUUCCCUGAUGCUAUUGAUGUUGGUAGAUUCUCCCGUCCUGAAGCUGAAUCGAACCGUUUAAGUUUGGAAGAGUACUUUCUCUCUCAACAGUUACAGAAGCAACAACUUCAACAACAACAGUCACUUUCUAAUCGAAAUCUGGAUUUUUCUGCACAAUUUGUGGAGCAGAUGCGAAAUUCUGCCCUCCAACAACGAUCUAUUAGUCCACAAUUGCCAGAAUUGGAUCACCUUUCAAAAUUUCAAUUUGAAAUUGAACAGCAGAAGCAUCUUCGGCGAUUGCAGCAGCAGCAGCAGCAGCAGCAGCAGCAGCUUAAGCGAUUGCAGCAGCAGCAGCAGCAGGAGCAACUUCAGCGACUGCAGGAGCAGCAGCAGCUUCAGCGGUUGCAGGAGCAGCAGCAGCUUCAGCGGUUGCAUGAGCAGCAGCGGCUUCAGCGGUUGCAGGAGGAGCAGCGGCUUCAGCGGUUGCAGGAGGAGCAGCAGCGGCUUCAGCGGUUGCAGGAGGAGCAGCGGCUUCAGCGGUUGCAGGAGGAGCAGCAGCGGCUUCAGCGGUUGCAGGAGGAGCAGCUUCAGCAGCACUUACAAAUGCAAAUGAUGCAGCAGAAGCAGCAGCAGAAACAACAGCAGCUGCUUCUUGAUCAAAUGCUGCAUCAGCAAUUACAGGAUUCUACCUUCGGGGCUACACGUAUGGACCCCCAUCCAAUGCACAAUGUUCUUCAUCAGUCUUUUCUUAGGCAGCGAAUGUUAAAUGAGCCACAGCAGCAAAGCCACUAUAUCCAACAGCACAAUGAUGCGACAAUCGAACAGCUUCUCCAAGCAAAAUUCGGGAACAACCUUCACCAUGUAGAUCACAAUUAUAUGUUUGAUGUCCAAUCUCUGUCCAAGCAUAAGCAGACUCUUCCAUUCGAACAGCAGCUUCCUUUAGGGCUUCAGCAAGAACAGAUUCAAGCACGACAAUUGGCCGCGGCUUUGAGACACCAGCCGGGCAAUGAGGAAGAGAGGCAUGGUGCGUUGUGGUCGGUCGAUGAAGCUGGUCCAUUCAUCAGGACCACAGCUAGUCCACACCAGGCUCGUUCAGCUAGAUUUGGUCCAUUGGAUUUUAUUCAGCCUCCUCAAAGGACUUUGUCAUUUGAGCAAACCUCCCUCAAACAGAAAUUCCAAUUGCAUGAACCAGACACAGACUUUGUUAAAGCCCUAACACAGUUUCAAGGACUGGAUCAGCAAGAACAAUUUUCUUCUGAAGUUAAUCCCUAUCAACAAAGGUUUCCCAAACAACAUACCAGUCGAAACAUGGAUGCGGUGGAGAGAGUCGGGUCCAAUUCUGAUGAGGAGCUAUUGAAACGCUUGACUGAAUCUGAAGAGUUAGAAAGAUAUAUAGAAUAUCAAGUACAAAGGUCGCAACUAGAAGAAGAGAAGCACAGGGAUGGAGUGAAUAUACUUGUUAAGAAACGGAAUGCGAGGUCAUCAUUUGUUGGAAAUGAUGGAAUCUAUCAGAAGUCGGUGCCUCAAUUUGAACAAUCGUCAGGGUUUGCUGAUGGUGUGCUCACAUCGUCCUACGGGCAGAAUGAACCUUCUUGGUUAUUUGCCCAGCCUGUUGCUGAUAAAUCCUUUAAGGCUACAAAAGAUAGAAUGGGCUUUGGAGAUUCUUAUGCAGAAAGUGCUUUUGCUCAAGGAGUGCCUGUAUCACAGGAGGAAUUUGCUAAUGCUAAUUUGGGAAAUCAAGGUAGCAUUAGAAGUGAUGGAAGAUUGACUUUUCUAUCUCCAUCGGAAACAUCGGUUGACCGGAAGCACUUCCUUUCAAAUUUGGACGAAAUUCAAAAUGAAGAGUUUGUCAAUGCUAUGAGUGGGGUGGGGCAACCAGUGGGCAGAGAUCAACAGCAGAAAGGUUCUGCUCCCAUCAGACAUUCUUCUGUUGGCAGCAUUGGUAAUAUGACUUUCUUCAUUGUCUGAAUUACUCUUUCUUUUCUGGAUUAUUCAUGUGAUUGUUGAACAUGAUUAUACAGGUGGAGAUGGAGUCUUCCACAAUCAUGAGGUUGGAGAUGAUGCUUCUUUUGGUGGAGAGAUGAACAACAACAGGUAUCAUUUGUUUGUAAAUGCUUUACUUUAGAUAUACGCAAUCAAAUCACAAUUUUGUUUUUCCAACUGAGAGAAAUUGGGGAAAUUAGCUUUACACUAUAUAUCUCAUGCUUGAUUUAGAACUUUUUUGAUGCUAUAAAUGUGGUAAUCUUAUAUAUCUCGAGUAGGAUACCAGACUUCUUGAGUAGGAUACUAUACUUCAAACAGUUGGUUUCUAUUGUUAUUUUCUUUUCUUGUUUAAUACUGAUUAUUUGUUGAAUCAAUUUUGAUCCUGGGCUGAGUACAUUCUUAUCUUUUGGGAUUGAAUUUGUUGAACUAGUGGUUGGAGUGUUGGACAAUUGCUGUUUACUUACUAUUUUUCUUUACCUACUAAUAUUCCCAUUGUCCAGCCUUGUUUGGCAUGUGGGUUUCGUGAAUGAAUUCAUAACUUUUGCUAUUUAUUGGUUUUCCUUUAGGACAUUUGUUCUUUAUUUAAUUGAUGCAAAUGUCAUAAGCAACACGUGUUCUUUUUUUAUGAACUUGCUCCAUUUGUUUGAGCCUUAUAUGAUAUACUCUGUAUCACUAGUUGUAAAAAAUAAGCCAUCGAACCAUUGGAUCUAUUCGUAUUUACUUGGUUACUCUAGAUAUUAGAAAGAGCUUGGGGAUGGAACAAGGUCCCUUUGGAUAAAAAAUACAAAUGAAGCCUUUUCCUUUUUUUUUUUUUUUCUUUUCAUAGAAUGAUGAGGCUUUCUCAGUGUUAUCUUGUAUCUUACUAUGGUUUUAUAGUUGUGCUUCUUUCUUAACAAGAAAUAUGAUAAAAUCAACCAAGAUGAGGUAUUUAUUGCAACCAGUUCUUUGUUGUUUAGUGAUAUCACAUUUUGUUGUUCCAUUUUGAGGAAAUAUUAAUAUAUGGUAAAGGAUGAUUCGUGAGAUGCUCUCUUUAUUGUUUCAGUAGCAUGAAACAUCAAUGGAAGGAGAAUUAAGUUCUAAGACAAAGGGAUGUUUGGAAAAUUUGGGAGGUCAAUUUUAUUGGGAAUGUUAAAGUUGCUAAAAAUUUGCUUAUCUUUUUGGUUUUAUUUCACUGAAAAACAUUGAUGUUAUACGUAUGGUUGUUUCUUAGGUUAAAGAGUGGCAGGAUAUUCGAAAACUUCAAUAGUUGACACUUAAAAUUCUCGUGUUCUGCUUUCUUGUUUGUAGGAUCCCAACCUUUCUCUCUUAAGGGUAUCUCUGCUUCGUAAUAUUCGUAAACUUUGACAGUUAACGCUUAAAAUACUCGUGUUCUGCUUUCUUGUUUGUAGGAUCCCAACCUUUCUCUCUAAGGGUAUCUCUGAUUCGUUGCUACAGCAUGGACAUGAUGAACAAGUUGUAUCAUCUCAGGUGGUAUACUCGGAUCUAGCCUCAACCCCAUCCAUAAGAGGGAAGAAUUUGACAACCAUUACAUCCUCUGAUGGUAUGCUCUCUCUCUCUCUCUCUCUCUCUCAUAUCGAAUGUAUGCAACCUUUUACAUGGGUCUGCCCUUGAUAAAUGCAUCUAGGGCUCGGUUCACUAAAAGCUCAGUUCCAGAUCAGUCUAGUGACUCCAGUCGCAUAGACUAGGUGAGCAUUCUUGGCUCAUAAAGAAAGCCCUAGUAAACUAAGUGUAAUUUGAGGUUUGAGAAGGAUUGUUCGUUGUUGUAUGGGGAAGAAGUGAUAGACAAAGACCCCCACACACAUAUUGAGUGAAGCUAAGAACUAUCACAUUCAGCUUGUCUUGGCUCAUUUGUUUCCCUAGCUGUAAUAUAGUUUUUUUUUAUUUAAUUAUGGGUGCCUGCAUUCAAAUAUAACUUCUCUUCUGUCAACAUUCAGAGAGUUGGCGAGAAACCGGUGGUCCUUCAUCCAACCAAGCUUCAGAAGUCCCUUCAUUUAAUAAGAAAGACCCGGCCGAGCCUUCAUUCAUCGACAUAUUGAAGAGCACCAAAAAGCCGACAUCUGAGCCCGAGGCUUCUGUGGAGCCGGAAUCCGGUGCAGUUUCUAAGAGCAACAAGAAGAAAGGGAAGAAAGGGAGGCAGAUCGACCCCUCUCUCUUGGGCUUCAAAGUCCACAGCAACCGCAUCAUGAUGGGUGAGAUCCAGCGCUUCGAUGAUUGAGCGUAUCUAUGUACAUGUCGUCUUCCUCACAAGGCUGUACAGGUUGUAAAGUUCACCGAGCUCCUGAACUUCUGCUCCUUUUUGUUUUUCCUUCUCCAAUUCUUUCUUUGUUUUGAAUCUUUGAUUGUCCUUAUACUCGCAGAGGUUAGUCGAAAGCCCUAGGGUUUGAUUUUGAAAUGUAACCACACAACCCCUCCCUCCCCCUUCACAGAAUCUGGUAUUAAAUGUACAUGUCGGAAUAAUAACAUCUUGUACAGAAACAGUGUUAUUGCCGCAAUUCCCUCAGUUGGGUUUUGAUUUCAAGUACUUACCCUAUCAAUUUUGUCAUGCAGUGCAUGGACUCCGCACUUUUGAAAUUAUGUUUGUAGGUUUUCUAGGGAUUUCGCCUUAAUAUAUAUAUACCUGUAAAUAGAAACUGGCAAGAUGUCUUUUCUUCUUGAUCCAUGGCUGAGUGGCUGCCUGCAAUUCAUGAACUUUGAAGACCUAAACAGAAAACAGAUUCGUAUCUGCAAAACGAAUGCAAAUUUCAUGCUGCAUCCGAAUUGCGCCGUUUCAUAUCUGACCCUAUUUUUGACAAAAAAGAGAUUUUAUUUUUCUGUUUUGUUUGUGUGUGUGUGUGUGAGAGAGAGAGAGAGAGAGAGAGAGAUUGGGGGUACUAAGUUUGUACAGAAGUACAAUUGUACAAAAUAUAUUCUCUGUGAGAGAGAGAGAGAGAGAGAGAGAGAGAGAGGGAAGACUAUUGGCUUACUUUUCUCUCUUCUAAGGUUGGUACAGAAGUACAAAUAUAUUCUGCUCUUAAUCAGAAAGAAUUAUUUAUUUAAUCCUGAGCUGAAAAAUUUUACUGAACACCUGUCAUAGAUGUUAAUAUAAAUUAUAGAACAAGCACUGGUUACAGGGGAGCACAAAUUCAGAUGUUAUAAAACAGAAUAAGCUGGUUUUAUUCUAUUCAUAGAAUCGUAUAUUCGUAUGAACUGAAUAUUAAAAGAGAGAUACCAUGUGCUUCACUGCAAAAAAUGUAAUCAGAUACAUAUACUGAAUAUAAGUGGCAGUAUCUGUACCCAAUUAAGAAAAGAGAUGUGGGUAGCCACUCCUAACAGUUUUCUAAGAUAUAAAGCUCCGGAAGAAAUGAAAAAAAAAAAAAAAAAUCCCAUAAAAUUGAAUAUGAAGGUUUAGCUCUUGGAGGAUAUAUAGGUAUACACACACAUAACGCACUUCAAUAAUUAGGUUUGGAUGGUUUAUGAGUGAUGGAAGGAAGAAACUCUGUUCAUAGUGACGACCGAAUAACUGCAGUUUUUGUUGAUGCUGGUUGUCAUAAUUCUUACUACCAAAUUUUGUUUAAUGAGAAUAUUUUGGAAUUUAGGUAGGUAAGAUUAUAACAGAGAUGCGACUUGUGGAAAGGCAAAACCCAAUCACAAGGAUAUGAGCUCUUUAGGCAACCUUAAAGAACUAAAAAUUUGAACCUGCUUUCUGAUUUGGUGGUUUAACUUAACCAUUUGGAAUGGAGGGAACAUCUCCCAAAAUGUUGUUUGAGUAGAGCUGUUCAAAGUAGCCGUAACCUAUUAUUCACCAAAAAUCCUCUUGGUUUUUGAGCAAAGCUAGGAGUGGAGUUUUUGAUACUAGAAGGCACAAGAAGCCCUUGUUUGACCCUGCUUACGUUUCUACUUUCAGCGAGCGACAGUAGGCUCUAGAAGAGCAUUUGACAAAAAGAAUAAUUCUGGAGCUUUUGCUGUUGAGAGAAGCAGAAACUAAAUAAUGAGUCACAAAAGCAGAAGCACCGAAUUGGCUCUGCUGAUUCUGCUGCAAAAAGAAUAUAUUGGCCAUAGUUUACAUACUACUACUUCUACAGUAUUACUUAGACAACACUUUAUCAACCUAGCAAUAUACCUUUAAACAUAGUCCAACAAGCUGUAAGAAAAAUUCGAAACAGGUCGUUUGUGGCACUAAAUAGACAAGUUGUUCAAGUCUAUGAAGGUUUACCCAGUCACAAACAGAGGGCAAGAUCUAAUGUUACCAUUUGAACAUCGAUUCAAGAGAAAGGCCUUUGUUCAAAUUCAGAUUAAUGCUAACAAUUUAAGUUCCACAAUUUGAUGUUUAAAUCCGCCCAGUAGAGCAUAACUGCCAGAUAAAUACAUAAAAAGCAUCAUAUGAGGCUAAUGCUGACAUUAACCAACAUAGCAGAGAACUUUGUCAGAUCGACAGAAUAACAGAUUUAACGAAACAAACUCUAUUGACAAUUAAGUAUGGCCAUAGUGUAAAAUCUACUGGAAAAGCAGUAAGCAAUAAGUAGAAUAUAGGUUUUCUAGUAUGAAAGCAAAACUGGAAAGGGUGAAAAAGGAGCAACCAAUUUAAUUAGACGUAAAGAUCCCGACCGAAAUUCAUAAUCCACACCCCAAGCAAUAAAGAGGCAUCAAGCAUCGAUAUAAAUACUUUUCGUGUAAUAGAGCAGUUUAUCCCCUCACACCCAAUUCCAUCUUGUGUAUAAUUCCUAUACGCUGGAAAAAAGCCUUUGGACAAGGGUUGUACGCAAUAGCUGUUUUUAGAUUGAAGGUCUUGUUGAUAAUAAUAAGUAUAGAUGAAGCGAACUCUGUAUCGAAUAAAAAGUGUACAAUAGUCUCAUUGGAUGAACAUACUAACUAACAAGUAAUAAUAGAGCAAUAAGUGCUCCAUUCAUUAGGUACACCGUAAAAAUAUAUCCCUAAAGCUACUAUCCCUAUAGUUUGCUCUCUCCCUAUUCUGGAAAAAACCGGCAGAUUUCAUGGUUGGUGCUUUCUAUAUAUGUAUUGUUUAUUGUCAUCACAAUGUUACAGAUCUUAUUUAAGUUACAGUUACAAAAGAAAUAGUUAAUUUAGAGGACGCUACAAAAUAGAUAAUAACAUAGGUAUCUGGUAAAACUAAUUCUUCUUACAUGGCAUUUACAAAGAGCCACAUGACAACUAGUAAUAAUCACCGUAGCUCAGCAGGGCUUGCUAAUAUAUAAAUCAACAGUGGAAGUGAAGUAAUCAGUCAAAGUCAGCUCAGGAUAUCCUACUUUUCUGUGUAAAAUGACCUUAUAUUUCGUUGAAAAUUCAACCAAAGCACUAAAUGCAUAUGAAAUUGCCAUAGUAUUCCACAUCACACGACAUUUUUGACCCCACAGUUCCAAAUCUCUAAAUUUAACGCUUCAAUUAAGAAUGGGUCCUACAAGAAGCUUUCUAGACUAACUACAUGUGAAUUUGUAUCAGGCAAUAUGCGGCCUUAUAGGCUGCCAAGACAUUAUUUUGUCAUUUCACAAGUUCAAAUAGAGUGGGAAGUACAUUAGGAACUCCUAAAUCCACCACAAUUUGCAAACAUUACCAGGAUUUGAUGUGAGAAUGAAACAAGGGGCUGAUCUAUGUGCGUUCGAAUCAGAAGUGAAGGAGCACACCGAAUUAGAAUCUGUAUAACUUUCUCAAUAAGCAUCUUGUCUUCGACGUUGAAAACCACAGUUCAUCACAGAUAAAUGUAAGGUGCCGUCAAUUUGUAACGGAUAAGUUUACAAGGGCUUAAUACAACAGCAUCUCGUGAAAGUAACCAGAUAGGAGAUACAAUCCCUGCUUAUAUGUUCGUCUUGCUUACCAUCAAACUAUUGCAGGUGAAAUUUUACGGCCAACAACAAAAUGAAUUUGGUAGGAUCCAAAAUGAGAGUAAUGUGAGGUACAAAGUGGUAUUGCAGAAUCUACCAGGAAUAGACACAGUUUCAUAUUCCAGGCGAAUGGCAGAAAUUUUAAUGCCAUAAUUCAAAAUGCAGCUAAGUUAAAAUCAAAGGGCGCCUGGUGUAAGAUACACUACGGGCUCCCAUUCUCAACCUUACAUAUCCAAAACCCUCCUCUUAAAACCAUGUAUCGUUUCUAGUUUCCGCAGAAGCCAACGGCAAUAAAUGAAGCAACUUUCAAAUGAUCUUCCAGAGAAGCAUAGAAGAUAGAAAAUGAGUGAAAGAACAUCCGUCAUCCGUAAAGAAGAGGGCAAUGACUUUCUCUACACUUAACAUGACUUUCACUUUUAAGUAAUGAGCAGAAGAGAAUGACUGGAGGACAUGUAAUGUCCUCAACUAGAAUUAUGUGCAGAGAAAAGAUCACCAGACUACUGAUGACAUCACUUAGAAUGAGGUCUCCACUGAACUGGUACAGAAAUUUCAAUUGAAGGUAGAUAAACAUCCAUAUCAACUAGCAAUGCUCAACUAUCAUAAACAAGUAAUAUGAAGAAAUAAAUCUUCAUAAAUUUCUCUCAUGGAGAACUGUACCAAGGAAAUUAUGUGUGAUAUGGUGCUUGUGGCGGUGAAUUGCAUUCUAUUUGGUCGCCCUUGGUUAAAUAACUUUAAUAUCAAGCAUGAUGGUUCAGGAAACACUUACUCCACCAAGUAUGACAAAAGGAAAGUCAUUCCACACCAGAAACAAAUUGAUAAGGGAUCAGGUUUCAAAAAUUUCACUAUGGCCAACUGGAAGAGAACUCCAACUAAUUUGGUUACUUAGUAGUCAACUGAGUCUAGAGGUCCUUUAAUCUAGGUCAAUGCCGGUCUUCUAAGUCAUAGUACAGUACGAGUUUCUAAUUGGCUCAAUUAAAUGAUCAGGUAAGUCAUUAAGGUGGAGUCUUCUGUGGCCAACCAACUGUCUCAAAUCAUGAGAUGUUUUACUCUCCAAAUCAAAGGAAUGGCUAGGUGUUGGUUAGUUAAUGUGGGAUAUUAUGACACUGCAGCCCAAACCAAGAUGUUUUGAUUCCUUUCAGAAAAGGUCUAAUAGUUUCAUAACCCAAUAACUUCUUGCCAAGUUUUUCUCUGGAAAAAGGCUUGUUACUUAAGAAUUUCAUCAGUUGUGUCUAUCUCAAAUCCGAUACAAUGAUUGAUCAAAUAUUAUGUUGAUUGAUCUCGAAGUCAGUUUGAAGUCCCUGACAAAACUCCAAGAUUGCUACUGUAAAGUUUAGGCUCUGAUUGAAGUGAUCAAAAUUUAGGGUUUGACGUAAAACCAAAGUGAAAUGCUAUGGUUUCAAUUAGGAACACUACAUAAGGCUUAGCUUUAAACUACAUUCAAAUCACCUAUACAUAUCAUUCAUAUCAUUUCUUUUGUCAUACUUUGAUCUCUUUGGUAGUCCGUGAGAGUUAGCUAUACUAUCCAUAAAAGUAAGGAAUACAAUAAAAUGUCAUCAAAUUUAGCUUCACACUAAUCCAUCUCAUAUUUUCUCUAUUUAUUUUGACACUUUUGAAAAGUUUGGAGACUUUUCAAUCAACAUCUCCAACUAAAUUCGAAAUUGCCAAAACUGAAGCUCUGGGAACCACCUAAAGAGAAACUGAAAUUGAAACUCCAUAAGCUAAGACCAAUACUCAAAACUGAUAUGCCUUAAAUCCAUCACGCCUCAAUGCAACAAUCAAAUCCAGAAACAUGAGGGCAAUAACAUUUUUCCUAAAUAGUUGAUUAGCGAACCUCAAGUCACAAGAUCCAGAACAAAUAAGUCAAAAGAAAGCGUCGCCAGUUUUGCUAACACCCUCUUGUAUAGUUUUGCUAAAAUCCCCCUUCAAAACAGGUAGUUUUGGUAAAAUCAGAAACACCGCACUAAUUACAGGGGAUGCCGCAGAGAAAGUCAGUCUUUUUUCAGUCUUCUCAUACUCUGGUUUGUGAUGCAGUAAACCAAUACUUCCGGGAGCGAUUUUGGAUGAUCGAUAUAUAAAAAAAAGAAGAAAACACUUAGUAUCUUACACAAAAAGUCCGCUCUAAAUGCAGACAAUAGGGAUAUCUGUACUCAUACAUGAAUAUGAACCCUAUUAUGGAAACUUAUUUUUUGUUCAUUUAUAUCCACAUCGAUGUUUGUAUUUGUAAGGUGGAUAACGAUAGCAACAUGGUAAAUCUAUUUAGAAGGCUCUUUGAAAAAACAAGGAAAGGAAGAAAACUAUAAAUAGCUAUCUUCUAAACCACUUCAUUUAGAAGGUUGGCAGGACUAACAAGAAUCCUUUUUUUUCCCUUAAAGUGCACAACGAAGAUGAUGUAAAUUGUACAAACUGCCCAAAUAUAACAUUUUUUUUCCCCUUCAGGAACAUUCUUUUCACCAUUUCCUAGUUAUAAAUUACAUCUAGAAAUGUUAAACUACAUGAACAAAACAGAGUGACAAAAGCAAAAAAGCACUAAAAUAUCAUGUGAAAAUAAAAUAAAAUCUGCAGCAGAGCAUACUGGCAAAGCGAAUAUAAUACGCAGAAGAUUGUAAUAUGUUCUAAAAAACCGGUAUCCUUACACGUUAAAAUGCAACUAUUUAUUAUCAUCAAACAAGCCAAUCACAACUCCACUAAUAGCUAACUGCAAAAUUAUCUAAUACCAUUGAAAAAACUCAUAUCUACACACCUUGAAAUAAACAAAAGAUACCGACUUCAAUCCAAUCUAUUCAACUCUGGUAAUAUACACCUGCAUGUUAUGUACCAAAAAAAAAAAGAAACUCAAGUAUUACACGGCGAUAGUGAUUAGUGACAAUAGAACAUUACUUAGGAAAUAAGUCGCGAAGAAAGUUACCGAAAUUCCGAGACUCCGAUGAGAAUCUGUGGAGAAAGAGAGGCCGAUCGGAAGCAAUCACUCAAAGCUGGACGCGAUCUUGAUGACUGAAUCUUCCUCCUCUCUGCUUCUCUCACUGCGAUCUCAUCGAAAUUGACACAAGGAAGAAAAUCAACCAACCAACCAACAGGCAAAAAAAUCAGAUUUUUUUUUUUGUUUUUUGUUUUUUUUGUUUCGGCGACUCUCUAUUACAAACUUCUUCCCCCUAAUACACACAAUCGUUUUUUCAAAACUCUUAAAUACUGUACUACACUUCUACUGCCCCGACUCCUCGGAGUCGUCCUCCCCCGUGCUAUCCUGCUGCUGCUGCUGCUGCUGGUUUUGCAAUUGGGCGCUUCCGCCGCCGCCGCCGGCGGGUCCGCCCCUCCCCUGCCCCAUCUGCUGAUAGAACUGGCUCAAAGCUUGCGCAUUUAGCGCUCCCAUAUGCCCGUCCUGCGAUAGCCCGAGCUCGAGCCCGGGCAAUUGCUGGCCCUGCCCGGCCAGCAUCGACGCGAAGCUCAUCGGGCCCAGGUUGCCCCCGGCCAAUUCGAGCCCGUGGAGCCCCAUCCGCUGCAUGAAGCUGCCCACCGACCCGUCGCCCCCGCCGCCGGGGCCGCCGAGGCCCGACGCCGACGGGGCCGCCGCGGCCACCCCGCCGGACAGCAAGAACCCGGAAUUGAACCCGCCGACCUGCGGCGGCGGGGGCCACAUCCCGGGGUGGGUCCGGCCCAUAUUGGCGGCGGAGCCGGCGAGCAUGGUGGCCCAAUUGGUCCUGGCGGCGGCUGCGGCGGCGGGUCCCUGGGGCAUUUCGUCGAGCUUGUGGUGGGCAGCGGCGGCGCCCGCGGCGGGAGGGGCGGCGUGGGAGAUGGGGCCGGCGGCGGCGAGCGCGGAGGCGGGGAUGGUUCCGGUGCCGGUGGCGGCGAUGAUGGAGGGCUCGGCCUGCUGGAGCAGCCACUGGAUGGUCUCGCCGUCGGACUUGUGCCCCAACUCCCGCGUCAGCUGGAAGAUCCGCGCCGCGCACAGCGCCGGCAUCCGGAUCCUGCGCCCGCGCCCGUCCACCUUCGUGUGCCGGUCCUUGUUCGAGCUCCGCUUCGGCGCCAGCUGCUUCCUCGACUCGUCCUUAUCCCCCGCCACCGCCGCCGCCGCCGCCGCCACAAGCUGAAGCUGCUGCUCCCUCUCCCUGUCGGCGCCGGCGGAGGGAUCGUCGCGCUUGUCGGAGGAGUGAGGGAGGCCGAGGGCCUGGUGGAACUUGGGCACUUCUUGCGGGUGCUUAGAGGAGCCCUUCGGAUCCAUGAUAAUAAUAAUAAUAAUAAUAAUAAUAAUAAUAGUAUAGAAGAGAGAAACAAAGAAAGAAACAACAGGAGAAACUAGAUCAAAGGUGGGAUUUUUUUUUUCUCUUUUCUCUUUUUUCUUUCUUGGUGUGGGUUGGGAGAUGGAUUUUUUGGAUGGAGAGAGGGGGAGGUGGAAGGAGUAUUUAGGCUUUCAUGGCUUUUUUUUUUUUUUUAAUUUUCCCCUGAUUUUGUCAAGAGAAUGAGAUUGGAGUUGAAAGAGCAUCAAAAGAGAGAGAGAGAGAGAGAGAGAGAGAGUAAAUAAGAAACAAAGAUACCCACUUUCUAGAUUUACUGCCCUAUGUUUUUUCCUCCUCUGUUUUUUUUUUUUUUUCUUUAUUAAGAUUUUACCAGUCUACUAUUGCUGCUGCCUCUUUUGCCUCCUUUUCCUACUACUACUACUACAAUCAAUAAGAGAGAUAGAGAUAGAGAGAGAGAGAGAGAGAGAAGGGCAACAAAAAGAAAAAAAAAAAGAAAAAAGGGGCCUUUUGGGUCUUUUGGGUCAUUAGGGGUUUUAGAGAGAGAGAGAGAGAGAGAGAGAGAGAGAGAGAGAGAGGAGUUGGAACUGUUUGAGAUUUUCAUGUACAACUCAUGCAUUUCAGAUCAGACAUAAGAGAGAGAAAAAAAAAAAACAAAGGGCGGGAGUGUGUUUGGGUUUUAGAGAGAGGGAGAGAGAAGAGUUAAAGUGUUGAAACUUGGAUGGUAAAAAAGAAGAGGGGGAAGUGAAUUCAUGAAAAAAUUUAGCUGGUUUUGGAACAGGGGUGAUGUGGAGUGAAAAAGAGGAGAGAGAGAGAAACAUUAAAAGGGGGAAAAUCUUUUAAAGUAAAUCUUAAAGUAAAUUUGGCAACAACAAAAAAGAAAAAAUUCACUGCUGGUUUUAACUGUUUAUUACCUUUUGAUGUACAAAAUGUGAAACUGUACUGAGAUUCCCUACACAAUAGGAUUCUUUUCCAAAAUAUCUAGUCAACUGUCUACUUCAAUUAAGGGGGCGUUUAGGUCCAACGUAAGUCAAGUAUAAUGGUAUUUAAAUUUUUCUUAAGUAUGAUUUUUUUUUGUUAUUUGUUUUGACGUAACUCGUAUAAUCUGAAAGUUAAAUUUAAUUACUUUUUCUGUUUGUUUUGAUGUAACUUGGUGCUGGUAAAAUUAGUUUUUUGAUUUCUGUUGUUUGCUUUGAUGUAAGUAAGUGGAUCUCAUUAUCUCCUAAAUAUAGUAAUAAAUUUACCACUAUAAAAUUUAACCUAUUAUAUAAUUAAGUUUUUUAUUAUUAUUUAAUGGUAAUCCUAAUUUAUUAUAAAUAAGGUAAUUCUAACUCAUUAUAAAGAAAGUAGAGUUUAGGUUUUACUGUUUAAUAAAUUCUUUAGAGAAGGUUGAGUGUGGUGGAAGCCGAGUUCGACACUUUAGAGGAGAAAGUCAAGAGUAGGUGAAGUGGAACUCUAACGUGACUUGAAUUACAUUAUAUUUUUCACUUACACCAAAACAAAUAACGAAAGUGAUGGAACUUGAGUUCCAUCACUCCACUUACACCAAAACAAACGGGCCUAAGUUGAUAAAUGUUCUUAAUUUUUUCUUAUUUUGAUUUGUAUUAUUUUCUCUACUAGAACAAAAGAUUAAUUUGUCAAAAUGCUCAGAUGUAGCUAUUAGCCUUUAGCAGUGAACAAAAUCUACAACUAUCAUUUGAAAAAGAAAAAAAAAAACCAUAUUUGUAGAAUAUAAAUUCAAUAAAAUCUAUAAUUAAAUUAAUAAAAUAAGUGAAAAAUUAAAAAUAUUGAAAACACAGUUUAGCAAUCUAUUUGAAAAUGGAGUCAUUGUUUCUAGCUUUAAAUUUGAUAGGAUAGAACAGAUUUUAUAUGAAACCUGACUGUUUUACCGUCGCUAAUUGUUCCUUAAUGGGUAAAAUUGAAAAAAAAAAAAUGCUAUGUGAAUAUCAAGGUUUAAGAUGUGUAUAUAACAGCUUCUACUUCAAAAAUGGACUAUAAUUGAGGAUUCCUCAACAUUUUUACCUAUGCAAAGAAGGUUUUUUUUUUUUUUCCUUUUUAGAGGGCAUUCCUUUGCUUUCCUUUUCAUCCUUGACUUGUCUGUGGGAUUGUCCUUGAGUCCCCCACUUGACUGAUCAUUAGACAUGUCAUAUCCCUUUCCCACAUUCUAUGGAUUGGAUUCCCCAUUUCCCCUCCUCUCUCUCUCUCUCUCUCUCUCUCUCUCUCUCUCUCAUAUCACUCACCACCUCUUGCUAUUAUUGCUCCUUUGAAUUCACUUGCAAGGGACUCAAAUGUCCACCUGGAGCUCUUCUAGGGGCACAUUUGGCAGGACAUGAGUGGCCACUAUAGUUUGGUUACUAACUACUCCCUAGACCAAUCCCAUGCCUUGGCCACUAUAGUUUGGUUACUAGCUACUCCCUAGACCAAUCCCAUGCCUCCACCCUUCCAAAUGAGCUUAAGAUGUUGGGUAAGUUUAACUCAUCACAAUAUUUUACUUGUCAAUGUGUAAUUUGGUUGCAAUUGAUCAUUUAGCGAAUUUAGCGAAUUCUAACUCGAAAACAUUUGUUUUUCUCCAUCUAGCUUUGUAGGACAACGAAUUGUCCACGACAUAGUUGUUUUGUAAUAAUUCAUUAGCUAGGUAGAGAUGAUUUGAUUUUGUAACGCCCCCCAAUAGUCCCACAUCGGAUGAAAUACUGAUUCUGAUUAAUUGAUUCCGAUUAGUUUAUAUGAGGCAUACACGCUAGUAAUAAUAACUGGGCUUAAGCAUUUUGGACCGAUGUUUUGGGUCCAACGAGUUAUUGUUGCUAGUUGGUCGGGUUGUUACACAACUGUCAUAUCAUUGUCGAUUUAGAAAAUUAACAGUAGUUCAAUGGAGGAGUAUGGCUGAAACUCCGCUAUCAACCUAAUCCAUUAAAAGAGAUGUGGCUAAAGUAUAAGCUGAAGUUUAUAUAUAGCGAAUUAAAGUUCAGUAACCAACAGUAUAAUAACUUAGUAUUAGUUAUAUAUUGCGACAUAAUAAGAAAGUUAAGAGAGAGAAAGAGAUUUCAACUACCAACCACAUGGAAAUAAAGAUAGGCUUUUUGCAAUUUGGUUUGUGUGUGUGUAGGGAGAGAGAGAGAGAGAGAGAGAGAGAGAGAGAGAGAGAGAGAGAGAGAGCUUUAAACUACCAACCACAUGGAAAUGAAGAUGGGCUGUUUUGUUGUUUAGGGUGGGGAGUGUUGUUGUUGUUGCAGCAGUUAAGGGAUUGUUCAUUUUGGAGCACUUUUGAGAAAAAAAGGUUCCUGUUUGUUUUACCCCAUACUAGGGGCUGGGUUUAAUUGUUUCUGACACUUCAUGGGGUCUCAAUAUAUAUAUACAGUUGACUAGUUCUUUGUAUCAUUCUCCAAUUUCUUUUACUUUUGUGGGGGCAUUAAUAGGAGAUUGCUUUGAAAUUAGUGAAAAACUAGCAAGGAAUGGAUUUGGUGCUGUACAAAGACACCCACCCAUUGUGGAUAUAUAUACUGUCUUAUUCUCCCCUCUUUUUUUAUUUCACAUUAAAAGCCUAGGUGAUAGACCCAUUUUGUUGAUUCCCACACACACACACACACACACAAAAUAAAAGAACUCAAGAAAAUGACAUGAAACCCUAGCUUUCUCUCUCCUCAUGACAAAGAUGCCCCCACCUCAUUCCCAUGUGGACACUAAUAAAAGACUAUGUUAUCUCUAAUUAUUUAAAUUAUCUAAGAAAGGCUUAUAUUCAUAUGCAAAUUGUGAUGGGAAUGGAGAAAAAUACAUUAAACUUGAUUUUCAUUUUUUUGUCUUCUUUUGUUCCCAAAUAUUAAGCACCUAUUUUGUGAAUAUCACUUCCAUUUAUUAUUUUUUUUUUCAUCUUGUGUUCUAUAUAUAAGAAGAAAAUAUCUAAGUACUAUCAUGGAAAAGGCCUUAUCUUGUCCACCUAAUUAAGAAAAAGAAACCCCCCUCCUUUUUUUUAGAGCACAAAACUAUUGUGUUGCAAAAGUAUAUUUAUAUAAAUUUUUUUAACCUUCAGGGUACAUUUAAAUUGAAAAAAUGGUAAUAAGUGGAGUAUAAUCCAUGACUAGAGAAGCUGAACCUAACAAAAAAAUAUAUAUAUAUUCAUGGUUAAAAUAAUAAUUCAUUUACGUGCUUCAAAUAUAUUAUUAAUGAAUCAAUAUUAAAACUUAGCCAAUUUAGCUUAUUAGAGUUGGAGUUUUGUGAAAUUUAAAAUAUUAAAACAGUCAUUAACUACUAUUCAAACAAUACCGAUCGACUCGUCAAUAUUUUUGGGACUUCCUCUGAUACAUUAAGCUAGUAUUAGUAUAAAUUUUCUCUUGGUGUUCUUAUUUUAAUUAUUACUUUAACGCCAACAAAUUCUGGUUUCAUUGCUAGGGUAAAUUGCGAUUGUACUCCAAGUUUUAGCCGAGUUUCGUACAUAUUAGUUUUCAAGCAUCAUGAGUUGGAUAUUUGACACUUUCAAACUUUUAAUAUAAUUUGUUCCACAAAGAAUAAGAAAACAGAAAAGAAACUAUAAGUUAUUGCCUGCACAUGAUGCAUCCGUACUAUCAUGCGUUGUCAUCUCAUCUUAUAAUUCAAUUCAUAAACUCUAUAGAGGAUAAUUGCAUUGCAUGCGCUUAGAAAGUAAACGACUGAAUUAAAAGUUUAAAACCAACGGUAGGCUAAAGAACUUAUAGUGGAUGAAUGUACAAAUGCGCUAACACAAUCCACUUUCAAAAGUUACUCAAAAUGUCGAAUAUUCAACUUUAAAAAGGUUGAGAACCAAAGUUUUUUUUUAAAAACUUAGAUCUGAUGGAAGAAAAUGGAAAAGUAGCAGUUAUAGCUGAAUCUUUUGCCCACUCUCUCUCUCUCUCUCUCUCUCUCUCUCUCUCUAUAUAUAUAUAUAUAUAAAAUAUAUGUUUCUUUCUCUCUCUUUGUAUUUGCUUGGGCAUGAAGAGAACUAUUACUUGUUGGGUGCUCAUCAUAAUGGGGGUUUAUGUGUCUACAGUUGCUUGGAUUGGUGAUCACAAUUGCAUCCCACAGUGGAGACAAGAGAGGGGGGACCUCUUUGAGAGCCACUAUAUUUAUAUUUGUGGCUGUUCACAAAAUGCAUGUAACUUGAGUUCACAUGAAUCCAAACCAUGAAUUAAAAAGAGAGUGAAAAAAAUAAAUAAAUAAAUAAAAAGAAUCUCUCACUUUAAUGCUUUAGAUGGCAUCCUAUGGUUGGGCAUGCAUGAUCUAUAUGAAUCAUUCCAUCCUCUUUAUUACCCAUCUUCUCCCAUGCUCUUUGGAAAUUAAUUAAUGGAGUACUAAUUAAGGCAAAUGAACCCUACUAUAUCUUAUUCAAUACCUAAUUAAGAUAUAGUUUAAUUAACUAGGAAAAGUUUAAUUAAUAAUCUUGUGAGCUGUACAAGUUGAUUGUUAUAGGAAGACUUGGUUUGGCUCUUCUUCUUCUUCUUCUUAUUUAAAAAAAGAAAAAUGUAUAUUAAUUAAUAUAUAUAAGAAGACCAUGGAACUUAAAUGGUGGGAUACAACACACCCAAUAAUAAUACUUAUUUCCAUGAAUAUAAAACAUAAAGCUCAGGUUACAAGGUUGGUGUCAUGGUGGCAUAGUUCCAAAAAAUUCUACAAAGAUGAAAUAUAUAUCUUGUGUAAACAAUUUUGGAACUUUUAGGGAGUGCUUGGAUCUUGGAAUAACAUAUUUUCUUCAUAAUAGUUUAUUCGCUAUGAAGAUUUUCUUGUGCGAUCAAAAUUUAGGAGUCUGAUCAGCUUUGUAAUUCCUCGAAAAUGGUUCCAAGACUAAAUAUGUUAUUUCAUUUUAGACAUUUAAUUGUUUUCUUAUCUACUUAGUACUAUUUACGUGUCUAAUAAAUCAAAAGGAUAUGUUAGAUAAGAUGUUCGUGCACCCAAUCUGGGCCUUAGUCUUCUACAAAAAUUUUAAGUUUCGAUGCACGGAGCAUGCGUCAAGCCCUAGUGAGCAUCGUGCCGUGCUCUACUGACAUUUGGUUACAAAUGCGGUGUAUGAUGUAUCGUCUUUUCGGUAGUCUUAAUUUGGUGGUUUUGGUCUAAAAGCUUAUUUGGUCUUACUGUAGAGUGCAGGGUCGGAUCGGGCGACCCCAAAUCCAAGCCCGGCUAGAAAAUUUGAUAGGCUUCGUCGCGCAAGAUCGACUUCAGCCCAAAAUGACCGAAGAAUACAAAAGCCCGACCCGAACCCAAGGCCCGAUACGCAUCGGCCCUUGUUUAGGCCCACUGGCAUAAAAUAAUAAAAUAAUCAAAAUAAAAUUUUUUUAAAAAAGAAGAAGAAGAAGAAGAAAGGGAAGUAUAUAUAUAUAUAUACUAAACUUAGUAAUAAUAAUUUGACAAAUAAUGUUUGGUGGAUCUAAUUUGUAGAAGCCUACCUUUUGCUUUUCCUUGUCAUGGUUGGAGGCAGCAGGUGAGCUGCACUCCAUCACCAUCAUCCAUUUUUUUCCCAACUCCCCUUCAUUUGUAUAUAUUAAUGGAUUGGAUCUUACUAAUUAAUCCCUUAAUUCUCUCCCCAAAACAAACACUCCCCCUAUUAUUUUGGCAACAAUUUCUAGCUCACACCACCACUCAAUCUCCUACACUUGCGUGUAAUCCAUCAAUUCAUGUCACCCCCCUCUUGAUCAUCUCUCUCUCUCUCUCUCUCUCUCUCUCUCUCUCUCUCUCUCUCUCUCUUUUUCUAACCUUUAUAUGACUAAGCAUUGAUUAGUUUUCUUCCAUGCAUGCUUUCUUUUCUUGUGAUAAAUUAAGUUUUGUUGCACACCAACAACCAUAUCAAUUAAUCCAUGCAUGCACACCAUGCACGUACACACGCACCACAUUAUGAAAUGAGCCUCCUCUCCAUUGGCUCUCCUUUAACCAAAUGAGUCUUCGAGCAUGACGGCGGCGGCAGCGACGACGAUGAUAUCGGUGCCCGCGAGGGCUAUCGGCUUCGGCCUCCGAAAGGGAGGAGGAGGAGCUGCAGCGGCGGCGGCGGCGGCGGCGGCGGCGCCGAUGCGAGUGAAUUGUUGUAGUAGUGGUGGUGGUGAGCAUGGUGAUUAUGUUAAGGUGAGAGCAAUGGGGAGGGUGAAUGGGAGGAAGGUGGUCAAUGGGGUGGUGCAUGGGAGCGUAGAGGCUCCAUUGUAUGUGGGGAAGGGUGGUGGGGAGGGUGGAGAGGGAGAGGGAGGGGGGGGUGUGGCCAUGAAUGACGCAUUCAAGCUGGGGAAGUUUGUGGAGGAGAGGUUUGUGUACAGGCAGACAUUUGUGAUCAGGUCUUAUGAGAUUGGGCCUGACAAGACUGCCACCAUGGAGACCCUCAUGAAUCUCCUUCAGGUAAAUUACAUGUACUUUUCUCUUUUUUCUUUUUUUUAAAAUAAAAUUAAUAUAGAAUUUAUCUAACAUUUUCAAUUUGUUUGAUUUGAGUCGGUCAAUGAAUUCGUCGGUCAUCUUUACAGAUUUGGCCAAUAUACUUCAUGCAAUUAUGAAUUCAUUAAAGUAUCAUUGACCAAUUCAAAUAAAAUAAAUAGAAAGGUUGGAUAGUCAAUUCAAAAUGAUUUAUAGUUUAGAUAAGUUCUGUGCAUUUUUAUCUUUUUUUAUGUUUUUAACAAUCAUUGUCCGGUGAAAU
rnacentral:lncRNA from 1 species